rnacentral:lncRNA from 1 species
AGAUUGGUCGUUAACGGUAACGGUUGCUUGAAAGCGAGGGUUGUGGUCAAGGCCUUGUUUGGCUGUUGUGUAUACUGGCAAGUUCCACACUCUCUGGUGGCAUAGCUCCUGCAGCUUCGUUUUGUACAUCUUUUUUGCUUACAAUAUUUUCACUGAUUUUAAUUUUUUUUUUGGAAUGGGAAACUCAAGAGAAGAGAGAAAUGGAAUUUAGUUGCAAAAUUUGAAGUUUAAUUAUCAAAUAUUACGCCAAGAGAGUACGCUUCAGUUCCACGAACAGGUUCAGAAUAAAUGACGCUUGGGAAUGCUGAAAUGGAAUAAGGCCUUUUUAUAAACAAAUAAUAAUAGUAAACCGACGCCACGGUGUUUUAAAAAUAAGUUUUUUUUUUUUUAACCUUGAAAUUCCUUAUCACAGUGACGUUUUAAAAUAAUAUUUUUUUAAAAUGCAAAAAAAAAAUUUCUUUCUACCAUUUAUAAAAAAGAAAACUUAAAUAAUUUACUGUAUUAAACGUUAAAAUAAACUAAUAAAAAAUUAUCGAUAUUCUAAAAACCAAAUAAAUAAUACCUUUCCUUUAUCUUCUUCUCAAGGAAGGUGGCUAAAAACUUUCUUCUCCAAAGAGAUCUUGUUCUAUAAGGAGACAUGACAUGAAAGUUGAAGGAGAGGGUGAUCGAAGGGGGGAAUAAAAAAUCUUUUAUGGUUGGCUCGUGGACAUGGACUUCUUAUGAAAGGUGGUAACGCUGUCUCAACGUCAUAAUUAUACCGAAGCUAAGUCCAUUUCAAUCAAUAUAAAAUAUGAAUGCGGUAACGACUAACGAGAAGUUAAUAGUUUUGGAUCAAACGAAUAUACAACGUCGUUCGUGUGUUUAUCAAAUAAGAAUUCAAUUUAAACAAUGUAAAUGUGUUAACAAGAAAUUGAGAGUUAUUGAUAAGACGAGCAUAAAAUUAAAACGUCAUUCAUAUGUUCAUCAAACAAGAGUCCAUUUAUGUAUAUGUAUUAACAAGGAGUAGGGAGUUUUAGGUAAGACAAGCAUGUUGAGUUGUAAUCGGAAUAGACAGAAAUCAGAAUAGGAAAUGGAGAUCAGAAUAAAUUAUUUAUUUGAACUGUAGGAAUCGAAAUCGGAAUGAAUUGAAUUGUCAUAAAUGUGUUUACUUUGUCUUGGAAUCGGAAUCGAAAUGAAUUAAAUUAUAACAAAUUAUUAAAAAGUACUUAAUAAAUUAUUGUUAUAAUUAUUAUUUUAUAUUUUAAUUAUAGUGAUUAUUUAUUCAAAAAUUAUUAUUAUUAAUUAUUGUCAAUAAUAUAUUGAUAUAUUAAUUAAUUAUAAUUAUUAUUAUAAAUAUAUUAAUUACUAAUAUUAAUAUAUUUAUCUGCUGUACCGUACAUCCNNNNNNNNNNNNNNNNNNNNNNNNNNNNNNNNNNNNNNNNNNNNNNNNNNNNNNNNNNNNNNNNNNNNNNNNNNNNNNNNNNNNNNNNNNNNNNNNNNNNNNNNNNNNNNNNNNNNNNNNNNNNNNNNNNNNNNNNNNNNNNNNNNNNNNNNNNNNNNNNNNNNNNNNNNNNNNNNNNNNNNNNNNNNNNNNNNNNNNNNNNNNNNNNNNNNNNNNNNNNNNNNNNNNNNNNNNNNNNNNNNNNCAUCUGCUGUACGGCCAAGGCGGAUGUACGGUACAGCAGAUUUGACUUUUUAUUUUUUAUAUUUAUAUCUUUUAUUUAAAGAAGGGGCAUUUUAAGAAAUUUUGAAUGUCAACGGAAGCAAAAGAACUCUAGGUAAUGGGAGAUUGAUUCUCACCUCUCCCAAGGAAUCAAUCUCUCAUUCCUCAUUCUCAAAUAGUGGUGGGUUCCAUGAUUUCAAUUCUGAUUCUUACUCCAUUUUUUGGAAGUAAAUGCCGUUAAUCAUUUUGAUUCUCCAAUUUGGAAAAUAAAUGUACCAUAAUAUUUAAUCAAUUAUUAUGAUUAUUGGAUUUUUCAGAUACUUUUAUCUAUUUUGGUUGGAGGGACGAAGUUCACUUUCUAUUAAAAGAAACAUUAGAGGAGCUUUCAAAGUCUAGGCUAAGGUUGUUUCCCAUGGCCUUGAAGCAAUACCCAAAAAGAGCUUUCCGGCUGGCAAAAUAGGCUUGUGUUUCUGCGUCGCAAAAUGAUGUGAAUGAGCUUUCGGAGUGUUUCCUCUGAAAUUUUAGAUGCUGCAAAAUCAACAUUGUCCCGCUCGAAGUAACCCGGACAAUUUCAUUUCCUAAUUUCUUCUUAUUUAUUAUGGCAUUGAUUUUCAUUGCAAGCUCAUUGCUCUGCUAAGAAAAAGAAUAAAUGGGGGCCAAAAAAGGAAGAAAGAAAUAGAGGCAAAGGCAACAACAUUAAUGCACAAACCAGUAAAGGUAUUCCAUCGAUUUACGGCCACUGAUAGCAAGCCGGGGCCUUUAAAAACGGAAAAUACAAGCAAAGAAAAAUAGAAGCCAAUUGCUCAAUAGUGCAUAAUAUGCAUACGGAAAAUUUUCAUCACAUCACGACCCACAGUUAUUCGAAUAGGUAAUAAGACAGGAAUUUUCUUUCUUUGUUUAAAGUGAAAAAAAAAAAAAUCAAUGGCUCAGGAAGUAUCCCUCCAAUCUCCAGAACCACUCACUUGGCACUGGCAAGCUGGGUGCGGAGUAGCUUGGCAGCAGCGACCAUGUUUGAGAGGGCUGGCUUCACCUCAGUGUACUUGCGAGUCUUAAGACCACAGUCAGGGUUAACCCACAAAAUGUUGGUUUCUAGCACAGCAAGCAUCUUGUUGAUUCUGUCAGCAAUUUCUUCAGUUGAUGGUAUUCUUGGAGAGUGGAUGUCAUACACACCAGGGCCAAUUCCAGCACCAUACUUGACUCCCUCACGGAAGACAGACAGGAGCUUCUCAUCAGAACGAGAGUUCUCAAUGGUGAUCACAUCAGCAUCCAUGUCGAUAAUUGAGUGGAUAAUGUCGUUGAAGUUGGAGUAGCACAUGUGGGUGUGGAUCUGUCAAUCAAUAUACAAUAAGAUGAGACACAACAUCAACAGCUAAAUUAGAGAGAUGAGAUUGGAGAUUGAAAGGGCAACUGACCUGGGUAGUGUCCUGGACGCCACAGUUGGUGAUUCUGAAGGAGUGGACUGCCCAGUCCAAGUAGAAAGCAUGCUCAGAUUUCCUAAGAGGCAAUCCUUCCCUCAAGGCAGCCUCAUCAAUUUGAAUAACGUUAAUGCCUGCCUUCUCAAGAUCCUCGACUUCGUCCUUGAUGGCCAAAGCAAUCUGGUAGCAGGUUUCAUGUCUGCAAAAUUGGCAGCGAUUUAUGUUAAACAAUGUUUCCAUUUCAAAAGGUUAACCAAUAGUGAACCAGUUCUCAUUUAUAUACCUGGGCUGGUCAUUUCUAACAAAGGACCAGUUGAGAAUGGUGACAGGGCCAGUAAGCAUUCCUUUCAUUGGGCGAGCUGUCAUGCUCUGAGCCAAGGAGGACCAGAAGACGGUCAUAGCCUUGGGACGGCUCACAUCACCAUAGAUGAUGGGUGGCUUCACACAGCGAGAUCCAUAGGAUUGCACCCACCCAUUGGCAGUGAAGGCGAAACCUGAUAAUUGCUCUCCAAAGUACUCAACCAUGUCGUUCCUCUACAAAAACAAAUGUCCCAAUUCAAUAUGAGAUACAGCAUACUUCGUAUGCAAUUAGAAAUGCAGAAACAAAAAUGUAUAAAAUUUUAUCUAAUUCAAAACCAGGAGACAUUGCUUUGCUUCCAUUGGGCAUUGUGAAACUCACCUCAGGCUCUCCAUGGACAAGGACAUCAAUAUCAAGCUCUUCUUGGAGUUUGACAACCUUGUUGAUUUCCUCCUUGAUGGAAGCAACAUAUUCUUCCUCAGAAAUCCUAAAAAGGACAAAUAGUCACGGCACAGUUAAUACAGUAGUCGAAGUAAUUUCACACAUGGCAUUGAAUGAAGGAAAACCUCAGAUUGACUCACUUCUUAGCCUUGUAUUCACGGCGGACUCUCCUAAGUUCAAUGGUUUGUGGGAAGGAUCCAAUUGUGGUGGUUGGGAGGAUUGGAAGAUUGAGCUUCUUCUGUUGAGCAUCCAAUCUAGCACUAACGUUUGUAGCACGUCUGUGGUCUGAUCCCUUCAAAGCAGCAGCCUAAUUUACCAAGAGGAAGGAAUCACCGUUAGCAAAAAAAGGAAACUCUAAGGGGCAGCCACAUCAUAAAAAUGGAAAACAAAUCAAUCAUGCCACUUACAGCCUUUUGAACUCUCUCAUUGGUCACUCUCGGGGAGGACUUUCUUGAAGCCUGAGCUGCAGCAUUGGCAGAGAAGAAUCCCUGGAAACAAAUGAAAAGGAGAAACAAAGUUAGUCUCAUUCAUAUCAUUUCAAAAGGAAUAUACAUAUGCAAUUAGUGGGCUGAUUGUGAGAGAAAAUGUCCACAAAACUUUAACCAAACACCAAAUGCCCAAGUUGCCAAAUGAUGUUUAAUUCGGAAAAAUAUAUUUAGAAACAUUCAAAUAAAUAAUUUCCCCUUCUAAAUUUUCAUUUUCAACAACAUAUUUUACAAGCCAAGCUCAACUUCAGGCCAAGAUUUUCUGCUCCUAUAAUUAUAUUUUACCAUAAAACUAGGUCCUUGAAAGGCUAAGAUUUUCUGACUCUUGUGACUAGUCAAAGCCUAAGAUUCUUUCAAUUCAUCCGUAGCUAACAUUUUAGACUAAAAGUAUACCUCAUCCUUUUGGCCAGCCAAAGCCUUGGCCAAUGCAUUCACUUCAACAACUUUCUGGGCAGCAAAUGCCAGCCAUGACUUGAUUUCAUCGUCGAGUUUGUUCUCAUUAACAAGAUCAACAGCAGUGUGAAGAAGUGAGCAGGAGGUGGAGACCACAAGCUUGUCUGCAAAGAAAAAUAAUAAAUUAUACAACAAAUCCCAUAAAAGAAUAAGAAAUAUUUAUCACAAAGAAAAAUGCAGGCAAAGGAUGUAUACCUUUGCCAACAACACCCUCAAGCCCCCGGAGAACACUAAGAGAAGCAGCAAGAUCAUUGGCCCAAAUGUUCCUUCCAUCAACCACUCCAGCAAAGAGGUACUUGCCAGCAGGGAAUCCACUCUUGAUCAAUUCAAGGGUCUUCGUUCCACGAACCAAAUCAAAUCCAUAAGCGGUGACACCCUUCAAAGAAGUGAGGGUCUGGAAUGCCUCAGCUGGAACAUCAGCAAAGUAGGUCUCAACAAGAACAUUCAAGCCAGACAGAGUUGACUCUAGCUCGGCAUAAGCCUCACUGAAUGCAUGCAAUUUGUGUGAGUCAAGAUCCAUAACAAGCAAUGGCUCAUCAAACUGAAUCCAGGAAGCACCAGCAGCCUUAAGCUCAGAAAUAACUUCCCUGCAGAAGUGUUAAUUGGUACAACACAGAUUAAUGAUGUCACUCGAUAUAUACACACAGAGUUAUUUAGCACAUACACAUUUAUAAAUCAGUAAUAGGUGAUAAUUUCUUACUUGUAGAUUGGAAGGAUUUUCGGAAGAAGAGAAAGAAGAGAAAAGGUCUUCGCAACACCCUUGGCAGGCUUAGACAGCAACAAGUAUGACACAGGGCCAAUAAGCACUGGGACAGUUUCAACUCCAAGCUGCAGCAUUAGACAAGUGAUCGAUAUUAGCAUCUCACAAACUUGAUCUGAUUGAUAGAAAGUUACAAGCAAGUUCAGAAUUCGUUUAAUGAAAUCUCUAUGAAAAAUCUUCAGGGUCCACAAUGUGUUGAAAGUACCCUUUUCAAGUAAUUUAUCUUAAGACUAUUUUGCAAACAGUAUUGCUUUCCUUACAGAUCAAAUAAAUCAAACAACAUAUGAACACAUUUACUGAACCAAGUCUAAGUUCAAAGCUCUAUAAAUAAAUGUCAAUGAAUCUAUAGUAAAUUCUAUUGCAUCCUAAGCUAAAGAUGAGCAUAUCAUAUAAGAAUUUCAAGGUGAACGUAACCCAAUUUCAAUAUAUUGUAGAUUCAGAUAUCAAACGAAAUAAAAUUUGUAAAUAUAGACAGAACUGAGAAUAAACACUCACCCCCUUAGCCUCCUUGUACUCAGUCACAGCCUUGUGGGAAGCGUAGGAGAACUUAACAUCGGGUCCCAAUUCAGGAACAAUGAAAUGACUGCAUCAACACGAAGCCAAACACGCGUCAGCAUUCAGUACAAAACCAUUACACCAUAAAUAACUUGAAAUGCCGCUCUUCCAAGUAGUGAAUACUUACUAGUUGGUGUCGAACCACUUGGUCAUUUCCAUAGCGGGAACAGAGGCGUUUCCUCUGGCCAUGGAGAAGUAAACAUCAAAUCCAAUCUCGCCGCCGUUCCAGUUAUACCUCGGGGGCACGGCACCGAGCAUUGCGGUGGUGUCGAGCACUUGGUCGUAGUAGGAGAAAGUGUUGCUGGGAAUGUAUUUGAUCCCGGCCUGGGACAUCUGUUUCCAGAUGGAGGAUCUGAGAUCAGCGGACACCUUUUGCAAAUCCUCAGCGCUGCUCUUGCCAUCCCAGAAGGAUUCCAACGCGAACUUGAGCUCCCUCUUGGGGCCCAUGCGUGGGUAUCCAACGAUGUGAGAUGCCAUUUUACUGUCAUAAUCACGUCAUCAAUGAAUCGAAAAUCAGUCACUUUCAUUAAAUCAAGAAAAUAUUCAUUCAAAUGGAUGGGUCAUUGCUAUUACUGCUCAAAUCAAAUGAAAUCAAGAACACUUAUCAGAGCAUAAAAUCUUAAAUUAAUUUUUUUAUAAAAAAAUAAAAAACCAGUUGAAACAAGCUGAUAAUAAUCCAAGAGUUUGAGAUGAUUUUUUUCUUUCUGUAAUCACAUGAACAAUUAUGUACUUUCAGUCAUUUUUGAAGGAUUAAAACAAAAAAUUCUACAAAUAGAUUCUGAAAAGAAGAAUCUAAAAAUAGAUUCAAAAACAGUAACACAAGUAGAGUUCAAAUUGUUUUUCGGAAAAGAUUAAUUACAGAUCUGAUUGAUUCACGUUCAGAUCUAGCAAAAUCACGGCAGCCAAACACUAGAUCUAACACUAACAGUCACUCACCAGUCCAUUAGAAAAUGAAAUCAAGUUCAAAAUUCUUUUAAAGUUAAUUCUUUUUUAGAAAAUGACCAGAUUUUAGUUGAGUAUUAGUGAGUUUUUUACAAAAUAAUUUAUUUUUGUUUUUUAGAUCCAAAAGUUCGGAAAUCAAAACCAUGUUCAAUGCUUAUUCAUGAUUAACGGCGUAAAAACGCUACUGCAGAGAAGACAUAACGAAAAUGGGAACCGUACCAAACAGAGAAAGAAGAGCAGAGAAAUUGAGAGUCGAGAGGAGAGAGAGAAGAGAGCGGCGAGUUUGGGGGAGUGCCCUCUCCGUUAUUUAUAGCCAAAAAUCAAAUCUGGUUUGGUGGUUGCCUUUGGCGUGCCAACCUGUAGAUCUGAGAUUUUUCAUCUUAAUUUCUUUCUCUUAUUUAUUUAUUUAUUUAUUAUGAUUUUCAGUGCAGUUCAUAAAAUAUAGAGCUGACGCGCGCUUUUCUGAUGUGGCGCGUGAAUUGGAAAUGCGGUAGGUCUUUGUGGGCCCCACGGCACGGUCAGGACUGAAGGAAAAAUGUGAGAAGUUAUCAUAAUUUCAACAGUGCCAUAAUUAGCAAUUACACCACCAAAUAUUUCUUGAGUUUUUUUUUUUUGAUUGCUUUAAAUGCAGAGUUGUUAUGAAUUGUGUUAAUUGUAGAGUUGUUAUGAUUAGAUUACAUUAUAAUUCGUCACAAUUAUGAUAGGUAUGUACGUAUAUAAUAAUUUAUGAGUAAUGAUAUAACCACAAACUCUUAUACAAACUUAUUUUGUACAAAUUGAUGUGGCAUGAUAAAAUUAGUUGAAUUAAAUAUUACUUGAUCCACAUGAUUUGUUAUUAUUAUUUUAUAUUUUCAUUCAACCAAUGAAUUAAUGACACGUCAGUUUGUACAAGAUAAGUUUGUACAAGAGUUUAUGGUUGUAUCAUCACUCAUAAUUUAUAUAAGAUCUCGAAUAUUUAAAAAAUUUAUAAAUCAUUAUUUUCAUGUACAUUUACCUGGUAGCAAUGACAAUAACAUAAAAUAAACUCCAAACAAGAAUGGAUUAUAUUAUUUAUGUUAUUUUAUAGCUUUUUAAUUGAUUUUUAAAAGGAUUAAUUGUUAAUCAUUACUCUCCAACCGUAAUCACCAUUAAAUAUUUAUUUAAUUUAAUAGUCGGUAGAUCAUAAAUAAGAUUAGAAUAUUUAAUGGACAAUCUAAUUGCUACUACAAUUGUUAUCAUUUUUUUAAGGUAAGGGAUUAGACAAUACUCAAAUUUAUUUUUUAACCCCUUACUCCCUAAAGAUUCGAAUUUAACUAACUAAUUAAAUAAGACUGCUUAAAAACCACUCAACCACAUCUUUUGGGGACCAAUUAAUAUCGAUGUUUAAACUGAGGUUUAUUAUUAAAUUUUUUAAGUUUCAAGUUUCAACCGCUAACAACAUUAUCAUCGAUUAAUGAUAAAUAUAAUAAUAUUUCAUCAAAAAACCAUUUAACACAUCCAUCCAUAUUAAACAUAAGUAAAAAAUUUAUCAUGCAUUUCAAAUAUAUUUUUCAUCCUAAAAGUUAUGGAGAAAAUCUUGAUAUCAAAACUUACAAUGUAAUUAUGGGAUGUAAUUUUGCAUUUGAGGUCAGCACAACUUAAAAAUUACUAUGAAUGAAAAUUUAUAAUAAGCAGACACCACAAAAAAAAAUUAUUUAUAAGUAUUACAAUCAUGCAGUUUUAUUUAAGUAUUUAACCAAGUCAUUCAAUUUCUAAUUAAGACGGUAUAAAUUAGAUUUGGGCUGCCUAAGACCAAAAGUCAAAAAAAAAAAAAGAAUAUUCCUAAUAAGCAGCCUACCGCGGUCACGCGCCUUAAGAAACGCUUGGACUUAGCACACGAUUUUAAUCCAAAAUGUAUAAAAAAGGAAAAAUUUAUGAGGUGUAUAAUUAUCUUGAGUUGUUAUAUUUUGAAGAAACAAUGAAGAAAGUUGGUGGCCGAAGUUGAUCCGGGGCGAAUGGUGGUGGGCCCACGUUGUUGCAUUAUAAUUGGAGUUAUUGUAAUUUUUCUUAUAAUUAAUAAACUCCAUUUUUCAAAGAAAAUAAAUAAAUAAAUACACUCCCGAUUACGAAAAUAUCAUUUCAUGAGUGUCAAAGUUAGAGCUGGCAAAAUUUGACACGACCCGAUUACCUGACACGAACACGACAUAAAUAAAUAAGUAUGGAUCGUCAAAUUUAACACGAUUAUUAAAUGGGUCGGGUCUGGGUCAACACAAUUUUUUUCCGUGUCGGGUUUGGGUUAAAAUUCUUGACCCAUUUACCCGAUCAAUGACCCGAUUAUAUUUUCUAUUUUAAAAUAAUUUACAUAUUCUUAUAAUUAAAACUCAAAUAUUAGAGAUAUUUUUUUUAUUCUUUAAAAUGGUGAAUAUAAACACAGUGUUUUAUUUAUAAAAUUUUACAUACAUUUAGAGCUUCAAUAGUGUAAAUGUGUAAAAAUUGAUAGACAUGUAUAUUUUAUAAUAUUGAUAUAUAAUAUUAUAUAUAUAUAUAUAUAAUUAAAACCUCAAUAGUGUACAUGUGUAAUAUAUUGGUAGAUAUGUAUAUUUUAUAAUAUCGAUAAAUUAUGUAUGUAUGUAUUUAUGUACAUACGUAUGUAUGUAUUUAUGUAUAUACGUAUGUAUGUAUUUAUGUACAUACGUAUGUAUGAUAGUGUGUAAAUAUUUUAUGUAACUUUUGUUCAAUAUAUAGAUAUUAAACGGGUUAUUGGGUAACCCGAUUGUUUUUCCGUGUCGGGUUUGGGUCUCAAUAUUUUGACACGAUUAUUAAAUGGGUCGGGUUUGGGUCGACCUAAAUUUGACACGACACGACACGAACACGACCCGAUGACCCGUUUUGCCAGCUCUAGUCAAAGUGACCGUCACCUACGCAUCGCGUUUGUUGGGCGGGGUGGGUAAGGUGGGGCGAGGAGUUUGUUUGAUCGUCUGAUUACUUUGAUUUUGAUGAAACGUAUGGACGACGGCGAUGGCUUGCCAGCAAGUGGGUUUAUCAUGAUUUUGAUUGUAUUCGGGGAGAUGCUUAUGUAUAUCCUCAAAACUUCUUGGAAAUGAAAACCGCUGGGGUGGCAAAUCUUGACCAAUAAAGUGUGCGUGAUGUUGCGUUUAUAAAUUUCAAUAAUACUAUUGGCCGAUUGAGAUUAUUUUUAAAAAGUUUAAAAAUAAUUUUUAAAGGUUAAAUGUUAAUUUUAAUAUUGAAUAAAUUUUUAAAAAUUAUUUUUGAUAAAAUCAUUUUAUCCUCCAAUAAAUUUUAAAAAAUAGCGAUACAGUAAUUUUUUAAAAUCUAAUUUUAAUAAUCAAAACUAUUUUUUUAUAUAAUUUUAUAGAUAUCCGCAUAUAUAUAUUAUAAAAAUUCGAAAUCAUUAUUAUUAAUUAGGAAAUAAAAUCAUUAACUUUUAAGAAAUUAUUAUUAUUACCAAUUAUACUGACAUAACAAAAUAAAAAAUUAAUUAAUAUUAUAAAUAUUUAUUUCAGUUAUCAACUAUUAUAUAUACACAAUAAAAAAUAUUUUAUAUACAUAUUUAUAAAUGUAUAAAUAAUUUUUAUUCAAUAUUAUAUCGAAUUAAUCAUUUACAUUCUUGCAACAAGUUAACAAUAAAAUUUACCAAACACAUACGAUUGUUUUUAAAACUCAUAUUAUUUUUUUAAAAAAAAAUUACUAAACCUUUAACUGAUUCUCUUACAACUGAUUAUUUCUACAGUACAAUUAACAACAAUUAUUUUAAAAACUAUAACAUUUUCAAACUAGCCCCAUGACAAUAUUGUUAUUGUUGUUUUUCUUACUCUUAUCAAUAAAACUACGUUGCACAUAAGUGCAUAAAAAUUCACACAAAAUAAACUAUUUAACUUUAGGGUAUUAAUUGAAAAAAAAAAUCAGAUUAAGGUGAAUAAAUAUCAGAAAAUAACAAAUAGAUAAACUCUCACACUCUUUAAAAAAAUUAAUUUUAUAAUUUUAUUUAAAACCAACAGAUAUUACCAAACUUAACGGAUCAAUGUUCCAAUGUUUUCUUUUUAAUUUCAAAACCAACAGAUAUUCUUUGUUCAUUAUAUGACCUCCAAACAAAUAAUUUCAUUAAUAAAAUAAUAAUGAAAAGUAUCGUGGUGAGUACAGAGUAAUUCGGUGGCUAAUAAAAGUCUCUAUUUUUCGUCUCUGUUUUUCAUUUUAACUCUUGGGGUUGGUGCCACUUCGGCCUUGGUCGGAGUGGUGGGCUGCUGCCCUCACAAGUAUUGUGAGGACAGUGGUUCAAGCCCCCACAAAUAUUUUUGUGGGGGCUAACGUACUUAUUUAUUUAAUAUUUCAAAAAUUUCUUCUCCCUCGUGCAAUACGAGUGGAGUAUGGACAUCCCUCCUCUAUAAGGGAUUAUUUGUCUGGGCAUGUACUUCACAGAAUUCAAUGUAAUAAUAUAAGUCUCAAUCAUAUAUUUUUGAUUGUAAAUAUCAAUAUAAUAUAUCUGCUAUAAUAGCAGUUGUAAAUAUCUGUGUAAUGCAAUAAUAUGAUAAUUAAUCAUUAUUCAAAAAAAAAACUCUUGGGGUUGGUAGGCUCGUGAAUGGUCCACGUAACCUCUGGACGUAACACUCAAACAAAGACAGCACAAGGCACAUGAAAAAUGCCUAAAAACCGUAAAACCGUGACGUGUUCAACAUAUUAAUAAAUUUAUACUGUGUUUUCUUUUUUUUUUUAAUACUGUGUUGAUAAAGCACUUACGAUGGAACGACCAAUUCUAUUACUUGCAAAACUAAUUAAUAUUUCACUCUAUCAUCUAACUAAUGGAAGGCCAUCUUAAUUGAGGUUGCAAUAGUUAGAAAGUAGCGGGAAGGGUGGCCAAUGCUCCAUAUUAAUUUGCAUCAAUCCCUUUCUGGUGAAGAAGUACGGGUGAAGUAGAGGUCAAAGUUAGAAGAUGAAGGGUGUGUUUGGGAAUUGAGAGUGAGGUGCUGUAGUUUUUUAGCUGCAGUUGCUGUGAAAUAAAAGUUAUAACUGUGGAAUAGAAGUUGAGAAAAAAAAUUUGUUAAGCUGCCAAAGCCCAGUUACAAAUGUUACCAAACACCUUAGUAGCUAGGCUUUGGCAGCCCAUCUACCCCAUCACACUCCCAAACGGAUUAGAAGGGGACCGGGAUUGCUUUGUCAUAUUUGAAAAUGAUUUUGAAAAAAUAAAAAUUAAGUUCAGAAUUUGGUAAAUUCCUUUAAAAUUUCUUUUAGCAAAAUCACUCUCUCCUUUAGAUUUUGAAAAGUAUGGAAUGAGUAGUUUUUUAAAAUUUAAUUUUGAAAUUCGGAUUCAUAUUUAAUAUAAUACCAUAUAUCAUAACAUGUAUUAUAAAAAUCUAAAAUUAUCCUUAUUCAAUCAAUUAAGAAGUAAAAUCUUACAUUUAAAGAUAUUAUCAUUAUCAAUUAUAUUUAGAUAAUAAAAAAUACAAUUAAUAAAAUAAAAAUAUUUAUUUUAGUUAUCAAUUAUUAUAUAUAUACAUAAAAUGUAAUUAUAUAAACAUAUUUAUAAAUGUAUGUGUAAAUUAAAUUUGUAGAUUUAUGUUUAUAUAGAUCAUUUGCAUUCUUAUCACAUUUUAAAAGUGAGAUUUAUUAAAUAUAUAUAUGAUUAUUUUUAAAAUUUACAGCACUUUUUAAAACAAAAGUAUCAAAAGUUUAAUUGAUUCCUUAUUUUUACUGUACAACUAACAGUAAGAUGUGUUUGGUUCAAGUAUAAAAUGAUGGGAUUGGACAAUUUUAAGAUUAAAUAAUCCUAAUGCAAUGUUUGGUACCAAAAAUAAUUGUGGGAUAAAAAUAGUGGACCCCACCAUUUAAUCCAACACAAUGUCAAAAUUUUAUCACAAAGGGGGGUGUGGGAUAAGCUAAAACUUAAACGUAGGAUAACAAAAAAAAAGCCCAAAAUUUUAUACAACACAGUGAUUUUUUUUUUUUUUUGAGUAUGUCAUCAUCCAAUGAUAGUAUAUAUGCCAGAACACUCUUUUGACGUUAAUGAUAUGUAAUAUUUUCAUAUAUACAGCUAGUGACAUUGUUAUGUAAUUUCUUUUUCAUUUAUAGAUUUAUAUUAUUAUUAUAUUUGUUGAUGAUAUUCUUGUUAUGUUUAUAAUUAUAUUAUUUAGUAAUUUAUAAGUUUAAAAACUAUAACAUGUUAAAUAUAAGAAAAACUUUAAGCGAAGAUUUUGUAUUUUUUAACAAAUUUACCAAUAAUUUUUUAUUUAAGUUAGAUUAUAUUCCAUGUCAUUUUAAAAUAAAUCUAAGAUAAUUUUGAUAAAUUAAUAAAUAAGACAUAUUAUUAGUUACUAACCAAUUUCAUGGCAUACCAAACAUGAGAUAUGAUUAUUUACAGUCUAAUCCAACAUUGCACCAAACGUAAUAGAGUAUUAUAUAUAAUCCAAUGUUAUCAAAUCCAAUCAUAUCUUAUCCAAUCCGAUCCGAUCCAGUCUAAUCCAAUUUGACAUACCAAACAAGCCCUAAUUAUGUUAAAAACUACAUCAUUACCAAACUGACCCUUAAUACAAUCUCAUACAUACAUACAUAUAUAUAUAUAUAUUAAAAAUUAAAAAUUAUCUUUAUUUAGUUAGGAAAUAAAACCAUUAUAUUUAAAUAGAUUAAUAUUAUUACUAAUUAUAUUCAGAUAACAAAAUUAAUAAAAUAAAAAUAUUUGUUUGAUUUAUCAAUUAUUAUACACACAUAUUUAUAAAUGCAUGCGUAAAUAAAAUUUUAUAGAUUUAGGCCAAGGCGGAUGUACGGUACAGCAGUAUCUUUAUUUAGUUAGGAAAUAAAACCAUUAUAUUUAAAUAGAUUAAUAUUAUUACUAAUUAUAUUCAGAUAACAAAAUUAAUAAAAUAAAAAUAUUUGUUUGAUUUAUCAAUUAUUAUACACACAUAUUUAUAAAUGCAUGCGUAAAUAAAAUUUUAUAGAUUUAUGUCUAUUUAAAUCAUUUGCAUUCUUAUAACAUUUUAAAAAAAGAAAAGAAAAGUGAUUUACCAAAUACAUGUAAUUGUUCUUCAAACUUACAACACUUUUAAAAUAGAAUUUAAUAAAUGUUUAAUUAAUUUUUUCACAGCUGAUUAUUUUUAUGGUAUAACUAACAAUAAUCUAUAAACUUAUGGUAAAUAUUUGUGUGAAUGUUGGUCCAUGUAAAGAAGUAAAAACAACGCAUAUAUCAAGCAAUAAGAUAUCAAAACUCUUAGUAAAAUACAUAUACUAAUGAAAGAAUGACAGCAAUGCAAUAAAUAAGAUUAUAAUAUAAAUUAUUAAAAUUGUAUAUUAAAAAUUGAUGUAUGAAAUUCUUUUUAUUUUAGUGAUAGAUAAUGUGAUAUAUUUGAAUAAUUUGAUUAAAUGAAAAGAAAAAUAACAAGUAUGGUUGUGGAGGAAAUAAACCAUUGAACUGUGGAAUGUUAUUAAUUAUUGCUAUUUCAUUAUGUAACGUCCUGAUAAUAAGUACAGUGUUAUAGUAUAUUGAUGGGUGGUGAUAUUGUCACCCCUUAAAUUGUGUAAAGUCAACCUCAUUUACAAAUUUUUUGAUAUAAAUUAAAAAGUACAUUAGUUUUAAUAAAUUAUAUAUUUAUUGAAUAAACUAGAACCGUUAGGGAGCUGUAAUGUUAGCACUGUUUUAACUUAUUAUAAAAAAAAAAGUUAUGAUUUGAUCAUAACUCUAAUUUAGAAAAGAAAAAAGAGUUGAAUUGCUAACAUACUUAAAAAUAAAAUAAAAACAUUAUUAUUAGAUGAAAAAUUGUAAAACUUAAGGGGGCAUUUGCAAGUCCGCCACUACUCAAUAGAGCAUUAUUCAGUACUCGUUAAUAUAUCUCGAACUUUUAGGUUUUUUUAAUAUAUUUUUAAUACAUUUUCUAGAACAUUUAGAUAAAAAGAGUCAGUACUCCAAUUGAGUUGUGAAUAAACAUUUAGAUAAAAAGAGUCAAUACUCCAAUUGAGUUGUGAAUAAACUCAUGUUAAAAAAAAAAAAACUCAUUUUCACACUUGAAACGAUUAGUAAAUGGGUGAUACGAAUUUAACUUGGUCAAUAAUAUAUACCAUCUUAAGUUAACUUCAACUCAUUGAUCUUCUAUAGGGUUGAUCAGCCUGCCACAAGGCCCACAAAUUAUCACCUCUAAUGCUUUUGCAACAGUCGUUAUAAAUGCUGACAAAAUGAAACUUCUAUAUAUUUUGGUUUUUUUUUAUUUCUAUGAAAUAUAAGGCCCUUAUGGCAAAUUUCCAUCCAGCGUGAAAUUUGCUAGUUUGGCCUUGGUACUGUGGCACAUGCGUCAUGCAUGCGUGGCUGAGAUGCUUCUAAAACUAAUAAAUUAUGAAGAAUUCCAAAUUCGUACCAAAAAUAAGAGAAUAGGAGCUUGUCAUAGGUGUCCGCGGAUCGGAUUUUAUGGGUUAAACAUUAAUUCAUAUUUGAUUCGUGAUUUUGUAGAUUAUAAAUUUUUAAUUUAAUUCAAUUUAUGGAUUAGUGAAACUCAAUACAAAUUCAAUCCAUAUAUAUGCAAAUUAGAUGCGGAUUUAACCCAAUGCAUAUUCAAUCCAUCAUUUGGCGGAUUGAUUUGCAAAUUAAAAGUUUUUAAUUUUGUCCAAUCUAAAAAGUAAUUAAAUUAAAAAAAUCUAAUAUAUAAAUAAUUGAUUAAAUAAAAAAAUCUAAUGUAAAAAUAAUUUUACUACCAAUUAAAUUCAAAAUUGAACAAGAUUUAAAUAAAUUUAGAAUAAUACAUUCAAAAUUUUAAAAUAUAACACACCGAAAAAAAAAUUCAUUUAUUUAGAUCAAUACAUGAAAAUUAACUAAAAUUAUGAAUUUAAAUGUUGAAACUUGAAAGCUUGGAUGUAACAGGAAGAAUUUAAGAAACUUGAAGAGCUUGAAAAGAAAGUAAGAAAUUAAGUUUAAUUACCUCAAGUGGUGAAGUGAAACAGUGAUUGGCUUGUGCGUGCGGUGGGAUAGAGAUUUGGUGUUAUAUGUCAAAAUAUUUUGUUUGGCUUGGGGUUUUUGUUUUGCUUUAGAAAUUUUAAUGUUUAGGAAACUAUAUUUGCUUAUUUAAUUAUUUCUUAUUUUAUAUUGUUAUCGAAUAAAAUAUAAUAUUUUGUUAAUUUAGCUAUAAUUUUAUGCUGAAUAUAUUUAUUUAAAACGAUUUUAUUAAAUAAAUGUGCAUAUUUAACGAAGGUCUCUGAAAUUUCAACCUGCCUGCUAAUGAUAGCCAAUACGGCACGACCCACCAAAUGUCGGCCCACGCGGGCUUGUGGGCCAUGACGACUUUUUUUGUAAGGGCCCGGCACGGCCCACGGCACGAGUCCGUGCCCAAAAAAAGCCCACCUACCUUUUUUUUUUUUGUCCACAUGUUCAGCGUGCCUAAAAAAACCCACGUGCCUGACGUGCUUUUUUAAGCCCACCAGCCUAAUAGUAACAACAACAACAACAAUAAUAAUAAUUUCAUAGAAAUAAUUAAUGAAAAAUAAAAUAACAAUUCUAGAAUAACAAUUACAUCUAAUUUUAUUUGAACAACUAAUAUUAUAAUUGCACAUAAACUCUAUUGAAUGAAAAUGUAAUUUUUAAUUUAUUAUAAAAAUAUUUUGUUCAUAAUUUUAUUUUUUUGUGCGUAAAUAUGAAAAAUAUUUCAUUCACAAAUGAAACAUAUCUCCAUUAACUAUUAACUAAGUUAUGAUUUCAUAAAUGAAAUAUUAAUGUCGUAAAAUUUUUUAUUUAUCAUUUAUAAAAUCAUGAUAUUUAUUUAUCCAUUUAAUAAAUUAUAAACAUAAAAAAAUUAGAAUACUUAUUUAAACUAGGACUUAAAUUAAUUUUAAAAAGCCUAUACUAAAAAAAUAUAUUAAAAUUUUUAAUUUCAAGGUAUUUAUAAAAUCAUGAUAUUUUAUAUUUAUUUUUCAUUAAAAAAUUUUAUUUUGAUAUACUUUGGCCCACGUGCUAUUGGUGGCCCACGGGCCGCGUGCUUAGCCCACCAAUAAAGUGUGCUUAUUACAUGCCUUUUCGCGUGCCGUGUUUUGCCCCAUCUCUAAUCAUACCGUGCUUUUAAGGCCUGCGUGCCUAAAAUUCUAGGCCCGCCAGCCGUGCCGUGCCGUGCCGUGCCUCGUGCCGCCUGGCCCAUUGGCCAUCCCUACUGCCCGCCAACCACAUUUGUCCAAGAUCAAUUUGUAGGAAAAAAAUUUGAAAAUCAAUAAUUUAUUUAAUUAAUUGUUAAUGUAGGCAUUUGAAUCCCCACAAAAUCUGGGUGUCAGUUCUAGACUUCUGGUGAUAUAUUUUUCUAAUUAAGGAAUAAAAUAUUUUUGUCAUUUUUUUAAUAUUUUAAUUUACCAGGCAUAUCAACUAAUUAAUUUUUCUACUUAGACUAUUAAUUCAUUACGUGCGCAAUCUGUAGCCCGGCGCUCCAAUCCCAUGCAUGUUACACACAACUCAAUCAUUAUUUAUUUAUUUAUUUAUUUUGACCAACAACUCAAUGUUUUUUAUAGAGCUGUCAAAAUUUGACACGACCCGAUUACCCGACACGAACACGACAUAAAUAAAUGGGUAUGGGUCGUCAAAUUUAACACGAUUAUUAAAUGGGUCGGGUCCGGGUCAACACGAUUUUUUUCCGUGUCGGGUUUUGGGUUAAAAUUCUUGACCCAUUUACCCGAUCAAUGACCCGAUUAUAUUUUCUAUUUUAAAAUAAUUUACAUAUUCUUAUAAUUAAAACUCAAAUAUUAGAGAUGAUUUUCUUUUUUUUUAUUCUUUAAAAGGGUGAUAUAUUUUAUAAUAUCGAUAAAUUAUGUAUGUAUGUAUUUAUGUACAUACGUAUGUAUGAUAGUGUGGAAAUAUUUUAUGUAACUUUUGUUCAAUAUAUAGAUAUUAAACGGGUUAUUGGGUAACCCGAUUAUUUUUCCGUGUCGGGUUUGGGUCUCAAUAUUUUGACACGAUUAUUAAAUGGGUCGGGUUUGGGUCGACCUAAAUUUGACACGACACGAAACUGACACGACAUGAACACGACCCGAUGACCCGUUUUGCCAGCUCUAGUUUUUUAAUAUGAAAAGGUAUUGGUUAGCUUUGUCUUUAGUUUUUUCAACUUAUAAUAAGUUUGUAUUAAGGCUCCCUUUGGUACAGAUUUUCAAGUAAAACUUAUUUAGGGUUAUUUUUAGGGACCUCCCCUGAGGUUUGGUGUAUUAACAAUCUGAUAGAAAGUAUUCACGUAAUUACAAAGACCUCCCCUGACAUUUGUAUUAUGUUAAGUGGACUGUUAUUGACUAUUGAAAAUCCAAAAAUACCCUUCCUGCCAAAAUAUUUCUUUAUUCACUGAUGAACUGAUGGGUAAUUCGUGCCAAAAUCACAAAUUACUUAAGAAGAUGAAAAUAUCCAUUGGAUAAAAAAAAUGAAAUUGCUUAAUAAAAAAAUUGACAUUGCAUAAUAAUAAAAAAAAUUGAAAUAAUGUGCGGCGGCAUAGCUGCAUCUUGCAUGCAUAUUAUUAUUGUGAUUUUUUUAUUACAAACUCCAUCCUGCAUGCUUAUUAUUAUUGUGAUUUUUUUUAUUACAAACUACUUCAUAACUAAUACAUGCCACAAGAGCAGAGCUAUUAAAAGAAAUGAUUUUCAUAUUGUAAACUUGAUAGUACAGGUGUUGGCACCGACCAUAAAACCCUUAUGAUACCAAUCUUUGCUCCAUCCAUAUUUAAAUCCAGAUCAAGUAAAUAUUAAAUUGGAUUUCAGGUCCUGAAAAUCCCACUCUAUAAUUGAUAUCUUCGAGUUUUGUUGGUGCCUCAAACCUGGAUCUAGAGCAUCAUCUCUGUCAUACUCGGAACACCUAAACUAAUGGACUUGCUGCAGCUGCUUAUUCUUCUUCUGAAAUGAUGCACGCAGAUAGAUUACAGACUUUGAAAUAAGAAAUACAAUAAACAACAUGUAAUCGAACUUAAGAUUUCGGCAAACUUGUUUGAAAAUUAGAAUCAAACAAGGAAAAUGGCAAGUCAAUAUUUUUUAAUCUAGAAAAAGGGCAAUUUCAAAGUUUAUCACAUGCCAAAUUCAUAGUCUUGCAUCCACUAUUUUCUAGUUUGAAUAACAAACAAAAGCCUUAGACAAAAACACAGAGAACAUCUCACAUGGGAGCAAAAAUUGUGUGUAGAACAAUAUACUUAAGUUACAUGUGAUUACAAUCACAUUAUUUAGCAAAUACAAAAUUACCUUCUCAAAAAAAAAAAAAAAAAAAAAAACACCACCAAAUUAUUGAAGGUAUUACAACAAUAAGGCAAAAGAACACCAAAGGCAUGCACAAACCGAAACUAACACACAACUCAAUUAGUGUCAUGACCCCAAACUGAACAAUCAUAUAAACCAUUGUGGGCUCUCUAAAAGAUUAUCACAUUAUAAGCAAACAGAAACCUAUAUUUGAUGAACUACAUCUAGUACUUACACAACUCUUAAAUCAUUAGGAAAUUGCUCUUAUCAGUCAUUACCCAAUAGUUUUUUUCAACUCAACACUAACAACCCCAAAGAGAAACAACAUCCAGCACCAUUUUCAUUAAUUAAAACAGACCCAUUGUUAUUUUUAAUCAAUAAAAUAACAACAAUAUCGUGUAAGCCACUGAUUCAAGCAUUCAAGCUGUGUUUUCGAAGACUGACCUCUUCUUGCUAUCUAAUUCCAGUCACGAUAGACGCUAGAUGCCGGCAAUACUCGCUUCUUGGAAGCUCUGGACCACCGCACGACGUCAUCUUGUGCAGUAGAUGAAAAUAAAUCAAUGAUUUCAGAAAUUAUUUGUGAGUUGCAGACGCUUCUUCUCCAUGGAUGAAAAUGAUGGUGGGUUUUGUUCAAGUGUAAGCUGUGUUUACGAGGAGAAGUACACUUUGUGAAAAAAUCAUUUUCUUUCAUCUACUGGAUAAUGACUUUGGACUGGGUAAUGGUGUGUUUAAGUCUCUAUUUCACGGACAUUGAAGCAUAUUUUGCUUGAAUUUUGAUUUUGUUUAAAUUUCAAGUUUACUUUUACUUGUUUACCCUUUUAUACUGACGCUUAUGUAUUUUUAUACUAACGUUAAGGGAGGUCUUUGUAAUUAUAUGAAUACUUUCUAUCAGACUGUUAAUACAACAAACCUCAGGGGAGGUCCCUAAAAAUAACCCAACUUAUUUAAAUAGAACUUUUACAAAAAAAAAUUUAGUUAUUUGGUUGUCAAUAAACUUUUCAAGUAUACUUUGUUUGGUACAGCUUUUCAAGUAAAACUUAUUUAAGUAGAGCUUUUACAAAAAAAAAAAAAUUAGUUGUUUGGUUGUCAAUAAAAAUUUUUAUUAAAAAAAAUAUGAAAUUACUUUAUUAGUCAAGUUUUUUUAAAGUUAUGCUAUGAAAAGAAUAAAAUAAGAUUGUCAAAUAAAUAGAAAAUAUUUUAAAUAUUUUAACAUUUAAAAAAACUUUUUAACCUUUAUUUUCAAAAAUCUAAAAUUUAAACUUUUACUAGUAAAGGCAAAAUAAUUUAUUUAAACUUCAAAAGCUUUAUUAGAAAAAUAAUCAAACAAUAACAAAAAUUAUUAUAAAAGCUUAUCGAAUUAAAUAAGUACUUAUAGUUAUUAAAGAAGUUAUAUCUAACAGACACUAAUGCCGAAAGCCCCUUCUAAUUGUGGGUGUAAAAGUUUGAAUUAUGCAUACGGUUAAGGAGUUAAGGUGUGUUUGGCAACUGCAUUAAGUGGAAAUUUUUAUUUUGUUUCGAAUAAAAAUACAGCAAGCUCGUGUUCGGCUCAAAAUAAUGGAACGUUUAAUUUGCAACCGUCGGCGGACGAAGCACACCGUUCACGGCCCUUCGUAUAAAAUUGCAUAUGUAAACGUAAAUAGGUCCGGAUUCAGAUUCGUUGCUGUAGAGAGUGGCACGCACGAUCGGGCUGCUGUCGGUGGUAGGUUGGCAUUGGAAUUCUCAUCACGCGCUUCCCCAGGCGCCUACUUAUGGCAAAUUGACACGUGACGCGUGUGGAUUGAAUGGACAGAGUCCCGGGCAGUGUGUCCAAAGCUGCCAACCGUGCUCUGAUUUUUGUCAUCCAUAAUGGCUAACGACUAACGAGGGAGAUUUCCGGGCAGAAAGAAAUUGUUGUCGUUUCUGAAGGGGAAAAAAAAGUUAUUUAAUUUGUUGUUGAAGACAAAAUGAAGAUCUAAAUAAAUAAUGGCUAAUUUUGAGUGUAAAGCAACGGUAAAUGCAUUAUUAAAUUAGAUUUAGGGUCUGAUUGAGAUUAUUUUUAGAUUUAAAAUUAAUUUUGAAAAGUUAAAAUUAAUUUUGAUGUUUAUUAAUUUUUAUUAAAAAUUAUUUUUGUCAAAAUCUCUCAUCCUCCAGCAUAUUAUAAAAAAUAAGGAAGAAAUAAUUUUUUAAAAUUUAAUUUUAAGAAUCAGUUUUAUACUUAAUAUAAUCCACAUAUAUCCUCGUAAAUAUUAUAAAAAUUUAAAAUUAUUCUUAUUUAUUUAGGAUAUAAAAUUAUUAAAUUCAAACAUAUUAUUAUUAUUAUUAUUAUUGUUAUUAUUAUUAUUAUUAUUAUAAAUUCACACACGCACACACAUACUUAUAAAUUUAUAAAUAAACUUUAUUUAACAUUUUGUUCACUUAAAUCAUUUAUAUUCUUAUAGCAGUUUAACAUUAUGAUUUACCAAACACAGAUAAUUAUUUUUAAAAUCCAUAAUAUUUUUUAAAAUAAAUUUUAAUAAAUGUUUAACUUAUUAUUCUGACAACUGAUUUUUUUUGUAAGGUAUAACCAUUAAUAAUAAAUAUUUUAAAAGUUACAGUAUCCCCAAAUUGGCCCUUACUAAUACUCUGCGUUGCCAACUAAAUACUAAUUGUAACAUUAAACAUCUGGAAUAUUUUUCUCUAACGAAACAACACAAUUAAUUUCCCUCUAAAAAAGAAAAAGAAAAAGAAAAAAUAAACUACCAACCCCACCCCUUUAGACAGCAGAGUUUUAGCUGAGGCGGCUUGCUUGCAUAAGCAUUAAGGCUGCUCUUCACCAACCAUUGAACAUUCUUUCCAUUUGAUUGUUACACUUUACUUCGCCAUCUCAUGUCCAUGUACAUUGUUUUGAAAUGAAGACUUUGCGUACAACUAAUCUUUUUCAAUUCAUAAUAAAAACUCUUUUAAUUAGUUAAUAGCUAUAGCUUCCAAUUGAGACUAUAUAUAAAAAUCCAUAUUGACUGACCAAACCAAUAAUUUUUAAUUGGCUUGAGCAUUGUCUUACUUACUUCAAAAUCGUCACUCUCUUUGAAAAGAACAUGAGAGAGUUCACCUCCAUCUCAACCCUUAACCCUAUAUCUCAGUCAAGAGAUUAUUCAUGGAAAAUUCAGAAAAAAGAAAUGUUGCAAUAUUUACGAAACUCACGUCACGUGAGGUAAGAUAAAUUAUUCCUUUCUGCUUUAAUUCAUGUACAUAAUCAUGAGAAUAACUUUAAUUAUAGUUUAUUUCUCCGUUUUAAGAUUUUUCCUUUUUUUUUUUUAAUUAAUUAAUUAUAGUUCAUUCAUUAAUCCCAUAAGAAAUUAACACCUUUGCCGGUAAAGUCACACAUACAACAAUAUUUUAGAACAAAAGGGAAGAUCAUGCACGAUCAUGAUGUUUUAUUAUAUCUCUAGCAAUAUAAUUAUCUUAUAAUUAAUUAAAAACAAAACAGGUAAUUAAGCCAAAGUGGAUGGCAUGCAUCAAUCAUCAUGCAGAACACCUCCCCUUGUUUUAAAUAUAAAUAAAAGAAAUUUGUGCCCAGAAGACUUAAUUAAUACUUCUCGUUUCUGAAGUGCUCACAUGAUAUAUAGUCGGACGCAUUAUAUUUAAUUUCAUGAAUUAAUCGUACGGUUGUAUUUUGAGAGAGAGAGAGAGAGAGAGAGUGACUGAGUAAGAUAUGGCUUAAUUUAACCAAAUCUACGUAUAAAAUUUUAAAAUGAAUUUUUGAGUUUUAACUUAGGAAUUGUCUAUGAAUAAAAGUGUUAAUCAAAUAUUUCGUGUAAAAACAGUCAGCUGUAACAUUUUCGGUUGCUUUAACAAAACUGUAUAUUUCUGUAAUUUCCUAUAUGGGCCAAAAGGAACAUUUUUCUCAGAAAUUAAAAACUUAUGGUGAAAAAGAUAAGAAAACCAACAGGUUCAAAGGUGCGAGUAAACUGGGCUCUGGUGCGCCCAACUCCCUCUUUUGAUUUUGAGACUCUAUUGACCAUUGAGUUUGAGGCCCCAACGGCCCAGUUUAAAACUGUUAUGAAAAGAAAAAAAAUAUAACUAUAAAAUUAAAAUUAAUAAUGUUUGAUAAAUAUAAUUUUUAAAUAAUAAUUUGACAAAAAUAAUAUAGGGUCUUGUGUAUAUUUUUAUUUGGCAUUUCAAUUAAUCUGCUUAUAUAUAUAUAUAUAUAAGUUAAUCUAUAUUUCUUGCAAGAAGAUAGUAUUUCUUUAAUUAAAGUCAUAACUAAUAUAUAAAUUAUCAACUAACCAUCAAACAUUUAUCUCAUUUUAUCUCCACCACGAUCAUCACCAUUCAUCCUGUCACGAUCUUUAUGUAACUACAAUUAUUUUUUCUUUAAUAAUGUCAACCCACCAACCCCAUAACAAUAUCUCCAAACAUCUCAUCUCAAAAUUCCUAAUAACAUAAGUGUUUAUGUAUGAAAGAAAAUGUGAAAUAUAUAAUCAAAAAGUAGUUUAAUAAUAUAAUGUUUAAAAAUUAUGGUAAAAAUAAGUGAGAGUUUGGCAUGGCAAGUUAAUAAAAAGAUAAAAGCUCGGACACUUGAUGCAUCAAAGUAGCAAUGUCUGUCCAUCAUUAUCAUCAUGCGGGUUUAGGUGCUUCUCAUGAUAGCAUUAGCUGGUAAGACCAUCAUGCAUCGUACUUUCAUUGUUAUACAUUUUGAAGGUAAGAAUGGUUAUGUUACGUCCCUCCGAUUAGGUGUAUUUUUCUUCUUCUUCUUCUUCUUUUUCUUCUUCUUGUACGUAAUAAUUUCUCUUUCUUCCAUGAAGAUUUCUUUCUCUCUUUCUUUUUUUUUUUUUUAUUAUAAAUAAAAUGAUAAGAACUAAUUUCCUUACUAAUUGGUAGGGUCGUUUAAUGGUUCAGAUCCAUUAGAUUUUGUCAAAUUCAAGUCCAAUCCAUCAUAUAUUCCAUUUUAUAUUCCGGAUCCGAUCACUAAUAGAAAUCCAUUAUAAUUUAAAACAAUAAAACGUCGAAUCCAAUUUAAUUCGAUAUGAUCAAUCCAAUUAAAAUAAAAAUUUACAAAUAAAAAUCAUUAGUUGCUCUCUCCAGUUAUAAUUCUUAACAAUUAAAAAAAAUACAAAAUAUCAACUCCUUUAAUAUUUCAUGAUUCAUGUACUUUAUUAUCAUAUGGUUGGAAAAAAAAGUUGAAAUUUGAAUAUUAAAAGCAAAUGUUGGUUGCGACCUGCUGUUUGUAUUCUAUAUUGUUAUAGUAUAUUUAUAGUUAUUUUUUUAGCAAGUUAAAUAUAAAAGUGACAUAUAGUUUUUUUUUAUAAAAAAAAAUAAAUAAAGAAAAUAAAAAAUUAAUUGGUUGGAUUGGUUUAUAUUGGAUUUGAACAUAUAGAUCCAUAGACCAAUCUAAUAACAUUAUAUUUUUUAUUUUGCAAUCUUAUCCAAUCCAAUCAAAAUGUCAAUAUGACAAAAGUUGGAUUGGUUUUGAUCAGAUCGAUUGGUUUGAUUGGAUUGAAUUGAAUUAGAUCUUGAACAUCCUACCAAUUAGACUUUCCGUGAUUUUUUUUUUUCCAAAUUUAAUAAAGAGACUUCCCAUGAAUGUUAAAUGCAGUUUUAUUGAUGAAUUCUGCAAUUUUAAGAAAUGUUUGAUACACGAAUAAUGCAUCUCAUCAACCAAGUAACUGCGUCCCCUGCAGCAGCCGCGGCUUCAACUGGAAUACUGCAGCCACACCGGUCUUGAGACUCAACAUUCGGCCGAAACUCAAGCAAAAGUUGAACAAUAUCAGGCCUGCUUUGAGCUAUAGCAAUAUGAAGCAAUGUUUGUCCCUGCGCACCAGCAGAAUCAGCUGGGUGGGUUCCAAGCAGGGUCACUCUGUUCAAGAACCUCUCUUAUCUCAUCCAUUUCACCAUCCUUAACUAGCUGAACCACAACAUGGGACCCAACAAACAUGAUCUUGAUUCCUAUUGAUGAACGCUGGCUUCUUCCUUCUUGUGAACCAGUCACCAGGAACCGAAUCAAGCAUCAAUGUUGCAUCUUUAAUUGCAGCUGCAGGAACGACAACGCUAUGCAAGAGGAAGGAAUCAUCACAGUGAGGGAAAGUAUGAAGGAGAACUGAUCCUGGAGGAAGAUGAUACGCAAUCUCUAUGCUUACUGUUCCGAGUGGUUGCAUUGACCUGAAUAGUUCGAUCUAUUUCUCGUGUAUCUACUUGCGCUGCACUUUCACUCGAAGAACCUACAAAAUUAUUCAUAACCCGGCAUAAAAAAGACGUAAAGUUUUCAGCGCGAGCAUGGUAACUUCAAAACCCGUUUCAUACCUAUCAUAUUUCAUUCGUCCCGCACCCUCAUUUAAAAGACUAGAGCUUAUAAAAACUAGAAGUACCUUACCCAGAACAUAAAAGCAGACAAAACCCAGUCGAGUAUAAAUAUAACGUUGAAUAACACCUACCAUUUACCAUUUCAUUCAAGAACACCACACAAUUAACGAAACCAACAUCGGUAUGUUUUCAGCCGUUGUACUUUCAACUUAAUUUUGAAAGCGCGGCAGCUAAAGCCUAAACUGUUGUUUGAUAAAAGUCCACCCACUGACUGCUACCUGGCGGCUACCGAUUCCAUUCAAUAGCAGUCAUAAAAUAAAAAGUACAAAACAAACCUAUGUACAAAAAAGGCAAUGAAGCAGCCAUGGAUUCAGUUAUUUGCAUGUUUGGGAUUGUGGUUGAUUCCAAAUUGAGAAUAUACUGCGAAAUUAUGUUUGAUAAGCAUUUAUCUGAUGAUUGCUACUUUAUUGAGUGCCUGUUUGGUAUGGCUUAUUUAAAAGCCAUAAGUGCUUAUUUAAUCGUAUAAGCACUUUUUUAAAAUUUUUAUGGUGUUUGGUUAUUUUUUUAGUAGAGUUUUUUUAGCUUAAAUAAGCUAAUUUACCUCUACUAGCAAAAGCCCAAAAUUUGAGCUUUUGGGAGUAGAGGUUAAAGAGCUUAUCUAAAAAAUAUAUAAUAAAAAAAAUAUCAUACAGUUUAAUGAUUCAAAAGUGUUUUUUUUAUUGACAACCAAACACCCAAUGACUUUUUGUCCAAAAACUCUAUUGGUAUAAGCUCUACUGCUAUAAGCUCUAUUGUUAUAAGCUCUAUUUAAUAAGCUGUACCAAACGGAGCCUAAAGCAUUCAUUUUUUUUUUUCGCGUUUGGCCUCUUCACUUUUUAAAAAAUUUUAUGGUGUUUGGUUAUUUUUUUAGUAGAGUUUUUUUAGCUUAAAUAAGCUAAUUUACCUCUACUAGCAAAAGCCCAAAAUUUGAGCUUUUGGGAGUAGAGGUUAAAGAGCUUAUCUAAAAAAUAUAUAAUAAAAAAAAUAUCAUACAGUUUAAUGAUUCAAAAGUGUUUUUUUUAUUGACAACCAAACACCCAAUGACUUUUUGUCCAAAAACUCUAUUGGUAUAAGCUCUAUUGUUAUAAGCUCUAUUUAAUAAGCUGUACCAAACGGAGCCUGAGUCUUCAAAGAAAAACUCAAUCAACUAAUGCUCGAUUUUUUUUUUUAAAUGACAAAUCAAAAAGUAUUUUGGAGUAGAUUCUCAAAAGAGUGAUUAUUUGAUAAUCCACCAUAAUCCCACUUAGUUAUCAGAAAUAAAUUAAAAUCCGACGAAUGUUACUUAAGCCAAACAGCAUUAUUUUAUUUUGACCACAAGGACCACAACCCUCAAGCUGUCAAGCAACCGUUACCGUUAACGACCAAUCUUUCACCUCUCCGAAUCUUUGCAAGUCACUAUCAAGCAACCGUUACUAAUAUUUAAUCAAUUAUUAGGAUUAUUGGAUUUCUCAAAUACCUUAUGUACUUUGGUUCACUUUCUACUAAAAUAAAUAUUACAGGAGCUUUCAAAGUCUAGGCUAAGGUUGUUGUAAACAUAGAGAGAUUCAGAGAUAUAACAGCUUGUAAUUACAUACCACAAAGCAUAACUUUGUUCGAAUGAUAAUGAUCAUAAUCCAGAUUAUAGACGUAGAGAGAGGAGAAGUCGUACUUGAGGGGCAAAACGCGGCGUUUUGGCUCGUGGAUGAGGUGCUGCUCCUGAUCGUCGUAGAUUGAAGGGAGGAGAGGUCGGUCGAGGAAGUUUAGGAGACGGUGGAGGCUGAAUUGGUGAAUUUCGAUGAAGACUGACGAAUCCAAUGGGGCUUGAGGGUUUGAUUUGCAAAGAUGAAAGAUAAGAGCAUUGUUUUGGUUUCUGUGCAAAAAAAAAAAAAAAAAACAUGACAAGCGUUGUUUUGGUUUUGGUUCUAAAAAGAUGAAAAUUUGACUGCAAUGGAUCCAUACGCAGUCGGUGUCAAAUAAGAGGAGAAACAAAUAUGUUAAUCACUCGCUCAAUCACUCAUGCGAAGUGCCUUUUUUUUCGUUGCUUUGGCUUCUGAGAAAUAUAUGCAUCAGAUAUUACAACUCUCGAGGAUAAUGCAUUUUGUUCCGGUUUUGACUGAUAUUUAGUGGCAUUUGAUAAACUGAUACCUCAGAACCUGGUAGAGAGUUUAUUAAAUACAAAGAGAACAAAAAUAUAUGACUAUAUAAGCUUUUACACGGUUGAAGAUCCGGUCAAAUUGGCUUUAGUUAGCAAGAUCAUUUAAAACUUUCAAAAAACGAAUGGUAUCAAAAAGCUCUGAGAAAAAGCGGAAAAAAGGCACCACAAAGAUCUUGCAAUUAUUAUCACAGCUUGAUAAGACAUGGAAAUGUAUCUUACAAAUUGGCCUUCCAAGCAUCAAAGAAUUGGGUGGCGACAACUCCCAUUCCUAGCUGCUACCGUGGCCAGUCCCUUCUAACUAAAAUGGGACAGGACCAAAAGCAAGGUCUCUCCCACUCUCCUUAUGUAUAUAAAAUUCCCUACAUUCGAAUAAAACUACAGAAAAAGAUUUGCACAUCAUCUUCUUUCACCUUAUUUUGCAAUCUUCAAGAGUUUGGAAGAUUUCAAAGCACUUGUUAGAAUGUAGCACUCCAUUAAGCAUUCUCACCUUCCCCACACCCCAAUGGACCUCCUUAAUCCUAUCGGCAGACCUACAAAUUCUGCUGCAACUCCAAUCAAAUAAAGCAACACAAUUGUUGCCUGCCUAAGCCUUCCACUCACAGCCUGCAAUGACAAGUUCAUGAUACAAAAUCAGAAACAUUAAUAAACAAAAAGAUAUUACCAUUACUUGCAGAGGGGGAUUUGUUGCAAUUAGUAAAUGCCAUACUUAUCACUUUCAUUGCAGAUAUCAUCAUCAUCAUAAUACUAGCAAUCCAGCACUAAUAGUCAGAAUAAUAAUAAUAGUAGCAUGAAUAAAGAAUUUCUGCAGAGUAAGCUCUAAAGAUGCCGAAAGUGUCAUCUAUUAUGUUAAUAAUAAAAAAGUCUAUCAAGAAUUCAAGGAAAGAAAACUCAUUAACAAAGAACUAAACUUUUUAAUAAUGUUUAAUAAACUACGUACCUAUGAUUUUCUAUUAUUAACAUAAAUGACACUACGUACAACUGAUUUUCGCUUUCUAAUGUUUCAAAUCAUACCGAGAAAUAUAACAAUUACCAAGUCAGUAAGUAGCACAAUUACUUAAUAAGACUUUGACUUGUCUAACCCAAAAUUGUACCCAAUUCUAUACUCUACCAUGAAAAGCUUAUGAAGCCGAACUUACUUUGACCAAACAGUACUAUUAGCUCAGUUAAAGGAAACCACAAUUGAACAAAGUUCAGCUGAAAUAACUGAACUAAAAAAACUUGAUAAAAUUAAAAGUAACUUAUAACAGUUUAGUAAAGAAGCAUACAAAACAUGAAGAUAAAUAAACAUAGGUCUAUUUUCUUGACACUACCAGGUCCUUUCCUUUUUUUUUUUUCAGAUAAGAUCUCGAUACUACCAAGUUUUGGAUUCAAAAUCACCAUAUUACAAUAAUAGUUGUGAUUCAUGGGAUACAAUAUGUAGCAGCUUAUAUGUCGGCAAUUAUAGUCAAAGAUGGUUGUCAAACAUCAUCGCAAAUCAAGAAGCUAAUAAAGACCAUGUCACACUACAUUAACAUAUAUCAGUUCUUUGAUACAAAGAUAUUGAAUGUUAUACAUUUCUAAUCCCAAGUCCUGAAAUACAAAACAAAAGUUCACUUCACACAGUCAUAAAGCUAGACUGCUAGAUAAAUGGACAAUAGGCAUUGGAUAUGGGUCAAUAAACUAUUAAGCUAAUUAAUGCACACGAAGGAAUCCGUUAGAGCUAGUAAAAUAGCCCUUACCAGAGAACUCGCAGAAGCAUUCAAUUUCCUCAAAGGAGAUAACUUACAACAUAAACAUUUUGAUAAGCAGCAACACACAUAAAAUAGCUUCACUCACUAGCAACAGAGCAACUUCUUCAACACAUUAAUAAAUCCAUUUUCAUUUUUAAACAACAAAAUAAUGCCCAGUUUCUCCAGCACAAAUAGGGUAAGCAGUAAUAGAAAAACAUGAUACAUAGGAAUUACCGGCCUCAAGAAAUCUCCAAGCUUUCUGUCCUCUGCUUCAAUUGCUCAAUCAAGAAUGCCCCAGACGUUGCGCUAGCGUGGUGGUGGAGCGUCGCGAAGCGUGUGGCGGCGGUGUCGGCGAAGGCAGGUCAUGAAGAUAGUUGGUGUCGCGCAGCGAAGGCAGUGCAGCUGGUGUCAUGCGGCGAAGGCAAAUCGCGUGGUGGUGGAGUUGGGGUCGCGCGGCAGUGGCGGUGCGGUGCUGAGGCAUAAUAGUGGCGGUGGCGUUGUGCGACAGUGGCAGUGUGGAGGCAGAUUGCGUGGAGCUGGCGGUGUUGAGGCAGAUCGCGUGGAGGCAGAUGCCGCGGUGGUGGAGUUGCUGUCGCGAUCAACGCCUGUGAAAGGGAAUGAAAGUGAAGGAGAUACCUACAAAAGAAAGAACGAGUGAAAUUUUUUUUUUUGUUCAAGGGUUUCAAACCCACAUAAACCCGACUCUCACACGGGUUCAGUAAGUUUAUGCGGGUUUGACUGCAUUACAAAUUGGUAUGACCACAACAACAGUACAAUGAUUGGUAAUUACCAAACAUGCUAUUUAUGUUGGUAUUAAAUUAAUUUAAUACAAUGAGGAGUGGUAAUAUCAUACAAUGAGGACUGUUAAAUAUGGUGUGUUUAAUAUGUUGUAUUGUAUUAUAUUAUUUUAAUACAAAUAUAUUAUAUUAUCUUGUAUUAUAAUAUAAAAUAAUGAAAAAUAUCGAAUUUCAAUAUAUAAAAAAAAAAUAAAUAUAUUUUGUUAUAUUCGAUCUGCUGUACGGCCAAGGCGGAUGUACGGUACAGCAGAUAAGAAUUUAAAUACAUACACUUAUAAUACAACUUAGUUUUUCCACAUUGUCGAGGGAUCAAAACAACCCAUCAUUGGAGUCCAAUAAGUUAUGUGGCGACACAAAAAAGUAAUUCUAUAUUUUUUACGUCAUAAAUAUGUAAAAAAAAUUGUAUUAUAUCUUAUUAUUAUUAGUUUUUUUUCUUCAGUUUUGACAAGUAUAGUUUUCUUGUUGAGUGGCUCAACAAGGCUGGUUACAAUUUCGAAAUAAUGUUCCAUCUGUAUCUGUUUUCCUUUUGUUUUUGAUUUUGUAGUAUAGUUAAUUUGUACGAAUUUGUUGCCUGGUUGGUUUUUAUGCUGAAAAGUCAGUUCAUUGGAAAUGACAGAAAAUUGUUUUUCUUUUUCAUUUUUACAGAAAGAGAUUUGCAACGUUAUAAAAGUAAGAGAUCCUAAGAGAUCCCUGAAUCAUAUUAAAUAUUAAACUUAAGAUACAGUCAAGGCUUUUAUUAUGUUACUAAUCAUGUAACGAAUAUAAUUAUGUAGCAGUCGUUAAAUACAAAUUUAACAGUUAUAAAAAUAACAUGAUUUUAUUAUCUUAUAUUUCUAUAAUCGUUGAAUUUUUAUCUGCUGUACCGUACAUCCGCCUUGGCCGUACAGCAGUAUUGAAUUUUAAAAAUUUAAUAUUAUUUUUUUAAUAUAAAUAUUAAAAAAUAUCAUAAUUCUUCAUAGAAAUCGAAGUUCAUGGCAUUAAAUUUUUAACGCCGCAUACAUAAUAAAAAAUUUGAUUCUCUAGUGCCAAUAUAAUAGAAUACAUAAAAACGAGACUGAGAAACUACGAAUAAAGCUCAUCAUCAAGGACUCCACAACAUUAUAAGAAGUACUAUGUAACAUUUGCCAAAUUACAACACCACAUCAAGACAUAUCACAAUGUAAAAUUUUUCCUAGAGAUUUGGUAAUUGAAAAACACAAUUCAAGUUGAAAACUGAUAGUCGACUUGAAAAGUUUUAACAUAUCCCAUAAAAGAAAUGUGCCAUGCCAAAAAUCCUAACCCUUGGCUCUUUGACGAUAAGAAAAUAUUGAAAAUUCCAAAGUACAGUGCAAUGGGAGAAAGAAUGCCUAUAAAGCUAGUAAAGAUAUUCUUAAACUACUAUUGGGAUGUUGGGCUGGUUGGUAGCAAAACCCAAACCCUGCUGCUGAUUUCCGAUACCACCAUCUUGGAUAAGCCGCUCUCCCUCCUCUUCCUAACUCCUAAGCCCAAUAUCUUUCCAAAACCUUCACAACCCACUCAUAAAUCUCAUUGUUGUCGUGGAUAUGCAAAUUCUCAAUCUUUUCUACUCCAUCACACUCAUCAAUCAUUUGGGUAUAAACAUUAACCCAAUUAUCCAUUCCUAUUUCCUUGUUAACCUCACCCACCUUGAAAAUGUUCUCAAGACCCUAUAGACAAACUGUGACGAUCCUUUGGUCCAGACAAACCAGAAGAUCACAGAGCGGUUUGAUGCAACCUUGGCUCACCAGGAAUCUGCAGGACCAUGGUACCAUAAGUGAUUCUAUCACAUGAACAUCAUUAGAUUAAAAAAAGAAAAAAAAAAGAAACAUCUAUCGUAUGAACAUUGCUGAGUGAAUAAAAGAAACAUACUGAAUAUGUUCAUGAGAUCCUCCAUAUGUGGCAUUUAAGACAGGCCAUGCAGCCUCCUUGAUUUCAAGUUCUGCAUGUUGAAGAAGAGGUGCACAAAAGGAAGGAUAAGGAAGGAUGAUAUUGGCCUCCAUAACAGCCUGUUGAACAAAAAUUCGACAAAUUAUAAUUAUGAGUAUAUUUAAGUAGCAAUUUUGUCAGAAUUAACUAGACUUGACUAUUGAGGAAGUCACAUUCAAAAAUAGAAAAGACGAGCAAGCAAUUGUAUUCAUGCUAUCGGGACCAAAAUACUAUGAUGCAAGCAAGAAAGAAAAACAUACAUACAUAUAAAACACUAUCUUUGAGUUGGGUAUUUUCUUUCAAUUUUGAUAAUGGCAACUUUGGAUUCUUCUGCUGAAUUACCACCACCACCACACCAUUGUAGUUUCACAUACUAAGAAAAGGCAGGUUCAGCUCCCGUGCAUGCCCAUAAGAAUAUGAUGUAUUAAUUAGAAGUAAAAUUAAUCUGUUCAAUUAAGUUCUCUCAUAUAUUUGUGUGCGUGUGUGUGUUAAUUAGUUUGCUUUCAAAUCUUUUCUCCCUUCUUAAUGAUAUAUAUUUUAAGCAUGAUAUCAACCACGAUGAAUUUAUUAGCCGAUUUUUAAUUAUACAUUCAGCAUGAUAUCACAAACCAAGAGCUUAAGUUAGCCUAAUUCUUCAUAAAUCUAAUAAUUGCAAUCAAUAAUAAUGCUGAAAAUACGAGUUUGAAUUAAGCUAGCAACUGGUUCUUAAAUUAUGCAAUAUGUAAUCAUAGGUUUACUUAAAGAUUAAAGCAUUUCUGCAAUCCAUUGUGCAAAAAGAUUAAAAAAAAAAAAAAUAGUUGCCAAAUUUUAUCUAAAUAAAAAUUCCUUUAGUGGUUAGUACUUGUGAAUUAUAGAAAUUAUUAUUAGUACUUGCUCAGCGCUUUUUAGAUUUGUACAGGUAGAUUACGCCAUUUCAAACCCGACCAUCCAUUUAGACAUACAAAUCCCCCCAAUUCCCUGUCCUCCGCCUUUACGCGACUCUCCACUGUAUGUGCCAACUAAUUAAUUUUUUAAUUACUUGUUUAACUAAUUAAUUCAUUUUCUCAAAAGCAAGAUUAAUCUAUUUGUUCAAAUCUGAAGGAGAUUAAGUUAAUUGAUUUUAUUGUAUGUAAAAAUAUACAAAGAACUCAUGAAGCCAACUAGAAAAAAAAAAAAAGACAAAAAAAAAAUCAAACCCAGAAAUAAAAAGACAUGCUUCGACAGAAAAUUAAUGAAAAUUAUACUGAUUGUGGUUCAAUUUGAUCAAACCCAAAUAAUAACCGGUUUGAUUGAUGACUCAGCGGCAAAGUGCAGGCGCAUCAGUGGUUGCACAGAUGAGUGUUCUCGUGCGGCACGACAAAGCAAUUGUCGGCGAUUGUGAUUGGUGAUGACAUCGAGCGAUGGGGGUAAUGGCAUCGGUCGUGACUUUGUGAUGGAGAAACGAAUGUUAGAUUCGUUCGAAGAUUCGUGUUUUGAUUGAAUAACAAAGAGAGAUUUUAUGAGUUUUAAUUAUCUAAUACGAUACCGCAUAAACCCGACUCGUACGUGGGUUUAUUUUAUGCGGGUUUCGGUGUACUAAAGCAGUAAAUUUAUGUGGUGCAAUUCAAACUGAUUUCACCGCCAAAAGAUCGUGUAAAUUUAAUAUUAUACAGGGUUUUAAUACUAUGUAAUCCAAUACACCAAACAUGCCCUUAAAAACGGAUAGCAAUCCGGGGCCUUUAAAAACGGAAAAUACAAGCAGAGAAAAAGAAAAGCCAAUUGUUCAAAAGUGCCUAAUAUGCCCACGGAAAAUUUUCGUCACGACCCACAGUUACUCGAAUAGGUAAUAAGACAGGAAUGCCUUUGUUUGUUCGAAUAUAGAAGCACAAUGGCUCAGAAAGGAUCCCUCCAAUCUCCUUGGCACUGUCAGCUGGGUGCGGAGUAGCUUGGUGGCAGCAACCAUGUUUGAGAGGGCUGGCUUCACCUCAGUGUACUUGCGAGUCUUGAGACCACAGUCAGGGUUAACCCACAAAAUGUUGGUUUCUAGCACAGUACGCAUCUCGUAGAUUCUGUCAACAAUUUCUUCGGUUGAUGGUAUUCUUGGAGAGUGGAUGUCAUAGACGCCAGGGCCAAUUGCAGCAUCAUACUGGACUCCCUCACGGAAGACUGACAGGAGAUUCUCAUUAGAACGAGAGUUCUCAAUGGUGAUCACAUCAGCAUCCAUGUCGAUAAUUGAGUGGAUAAUGUCGUUGAAGUUGGAGUAGCACAUGUGGGUGUGGAUCUGUCAAUCAAUAAACAAUAGAAUGAGAUACAAAAUCAACAGCUAAAUUAAAGAGAUGAGAUUGGAGAUUAAAAGGGUAACUGACCUGGGUAGUGUCCUGGAUGCCACAGUUGGUGAUUCUGAAGGAGUGGACUGCCCAGUCCAAGUAGAAAGCAUGCUCAGAUUUCCUGAGAGGCAAUCCUUCCCUCAAGGCAGCCUCAUCAAUUUGAAUAACGUUAAUGCCUGCCUUCUCAAGAUCCUCGACUUCGUCCUUGAUGGCCAAAGCAAUCUGGUAGCAGGUUUCAUGUCUGCAAAAUUGGCAGCGAUUGAUGUUAAACAAUGUUUCCAUUCCAAAAGGUUAACCAAUAGUGAACCAGUUCUCAUUUAUAUACCUGGGCUGGUCAUUUCUGACAAAGGACCAGUUGAGAAUGGUGACAGGGCCAGUAAGCAUUCCCUUCAUUGGGCGAGCAGUCAUGCUCUGAGCCCAGGAGGACCAGAAGACGGUCAUAGCCUUGGGACGGCUCACAUCACCAUAGAUGAUGGGUGGCUUCACACAGCGAGAUCCAUAGGAUUGCACCCACCCAUUGGCAGUGAAGGCGAAACCUGAUAACUGCUCUCCAAAGUACUCAACCAUGUCGUUUCUCUACAAAAACAAAUGUCCGAAUUCAAUUUGAGAUCCAGCAUACUUCGUAUGCAAUUAGAAAUGCAGAAACAAAAAUGUAUAAAAUUUUAUGUAAUUCAAAACCAGGAGACAUUGCUUUGCUUCCAUUGGGCAUUGCGAGACUCACCUCAGGCUCUCCAUGGACAAGGACAUCAAUAUCAAGCUCUUCUUGGAGUUUGACAACCUUGUUGAUUUCCUCCUUGAUGGAAGCAACAUAUUCUUCCUCAGAAAUCCUAAAAAGGACAAAUAGUCACGGCACAGUUAAUACAGUAGUUGCAGUAAUUUCACACAUGGCAUUGAAUGAAGAAACACCUCAGAUUGACUCACUUCUUAGCCUUGUAUUCACGGCGGACUCUCCUAAGUUCAAUGGUUUGUGGGAAGGAUCCAAUUGUGGUGGUUGGGAGGAUUGGAAGAUUGAGCUUCUUCUGUUGAGCAUCUAAUCUAGCACUAACGUUUGUAGCACGUCUGUGGUCUGAUCCCCUCAAAGCAGCAGCCUAAUAGACCAAGAGGAAGGAAUCACUGUUAGCAAAAAAGGAAAUUCUAAGGGACAGCCACAUCAUAAAAAUGGAAAACAAAUCAAUCAUGCCACUUACAGCCUUUUGAACUGCCUCAUUGGUCACUCUCGGGGAGGACUUUCUUGAAGCCUGAGCUGCAGCAUUGGCAGAGAAGAAUCCCUGGAAACAAAUGAUAAGGAGAACCAAAGUUAGUCUCAUUCAUAUCAUUUUAAAAAGAAGAUACAUAUGCAAUUAGUGGGCUGAUUGUGAGAGAAAAAGUCCCCAAAACUUUAAUCAAACACCAAAUGCCCAAGUUGCCAAAUGAUGUUUAAUUCGGAAAAAUAUAUUUAAAAACAUUCAAAUAUAAUUUCCCCUUCUAAAUUUUCAUUUUCAACAACAUAUUUUACAAGCCAAGCUCAACGUCAGGCCAAGAUUUUGUGCUCCUAUAAUUAUAUUUUACCAUAAAACUAGGUCCUUGAAAGGCUAAGAUUUUCUGACUCUUGUGACUAGUCAAAGCCUAAGAUUCUUUCAAUUCAUCCGUAGUAAAAGUAUACCUCAUCCUUUUGGCCAGCCAAAGCCUUGGCCAAUGCAUUGACUUCAACAACUUUCUGGGCAGCAAAUGCCAGCCAUGACUUGAUUUCGUCGUCGAGUUUGUUCUCAUUAACAAGAUCAACAGCAGUGUGAAGAAGUGAGCAGGAGGUGGAGACCACAAGCUUGUCUGCAAAGAAAAGUAAUAAAUUAUACAACAAAUCCCAUAAUAGAAUAAGAAAUAUUUAUCACAAAGAAAAAUGCAAGCAAAGGAUGUAUACCUUUGCCAACAACACCCUCAAGCCCCCGGAGAACACUAAGAGAAGCAGCAAGAUCAUUGGCCCAAAUGUUCCUUCCAUCAACCACUCCAGCAAAGAGGUACUUGCCAGCAGGGAAUCCACUCUUGAUCAAUUCAAGGGUCUUGGUUCCACGAACCAAAUCAAAUCCAUAAGCGGUGACACCCUUCAAAGAAGUGAGGGUCUGGAAUGCCUCAGCUGGAACAUCAGCAAAGUAGGUCUCAACAAGAACAUUCAAGCCAGACAGAGUUGACUCUAGUUCCGCGUAAGCCUCACUGAAUGCUUGCAAUUUGUGUGAGUCAAGAUCCGUAACAAGCAAUGGCUCAUCAAACUGAAUCCAGGAAGCACCAGCAGCCUUAAGCUCAGAAACAACUUCCCUGCAGAAGUGUUAAUUGGUACGACACGGAUUAAUGAUGCCACACGAUACACACACACACACACACACACACACACACACACACACACACACACACACACACACACACACACACACACACACACACACACACACACACACACACACACACACACACACACACACACAGACAGAGUUAUUUAGCACAUACACGUUUAUAAAUCUGUAAAUAGGUGAUAAUUCUUACUUGUAGAUCGGAAGGAUUUUGGGAAGAAGAGAGAGAACAGAAAAGGUCUUCUCAACCCCCCAGGCAGGCUUAGACAGCAACAAGUAUGACACAGGGCCAAUAAGCACUGGGACAGUUUCAACUCCAUGCUGCAGCAUUAGACAAGUGGUAGAUAUUAGCAUCUCACAAACUUGAUCUGACUGAUAGAAAGUUACAAGCAAGUUAAGAAUAUGUUUGAUGAAAUUUCAAUGAAAAAUCUUCAGGGUCCACAACAUGUUGACUAUACCCUUUUUAAGUAAUUUAUCUUAAGACUAUUUUGCAAACAGUAUUGCUUCCCUUUACAGAUCAAAUAAAUCAUACAACAUCUGAACGCAUUUCCUGAGCCAAAUAUAAGUUCAAAGCUCUAUAAUAAAUGUCAAUGACUCUAUAGUAAAUUCCAUCACAUUCUGAGCUAUGGAUGAGCAUAUCAUAUGCCAAUUUCAAGUUGAACGUAACCCAAUUUCAACAUAUUGUAGAUUCAAGUAUCAAACGAAAAAAAAAAUAUUGUAAAUAUAGACAGAACUGAGAACAAACACUCACCCCCUUAGCCUCCUUGUACUCAGUCACAGCCUUGUGGGAAGCGUAGGAGAACUUAACAUCGGGUCCCAAUUCAGGAACAAUGAAAUGACUGCAUCAACACGAAGCCAAACACACGUCAGCAUUCAGUACAAAACCAUUACACCAUAACUAACUUGAAAUGCCGCUCUUCCAAGUAGUGAAUACUUACUAGUUGGUGUCGAACCACUUGGUCAUUUCCAUUGCGAGAACAGAGGCGUUUCCUCUGGCCAUGGAGAAGUAAACAUCGAAUCCAAUCUCGCCGCCGUUCCAGUUAAACCUCGGGGGCACGGCACCGAGCAUUGCGGUGGUGUCGAGCACUUGGUCGUAGUAGGAGAAAGUGUUGCUGGGAAUGUAUUUGAUCCCGGCCUCGGACAUCUGUUUCCAGAUGGAGGAUCUGAGAUCAGCGGACACCUUUUGCAAAUCCUCGGCGCUGCUCUUGCCAUCCCAGAAGGAUUCCAACGCGAACUUGAGCUCCCUCUUGGGGCCCAUGCGUGGGUAACCAACGAUGUGAGAUGCCAUUUUACUGUCAUAAUCACGUCAUCAAUGAAUCGAAAAUCAGUCCCUUCCAUUAAAUCAAGAAAUUAUUAAUUCAAAUGAAUGGAUCACAUUGUAUAUAUAUGGGAUAAAUAUAAUUAUGAACAAAAGCGUCUAAUCAAUCACAAAAAGCAAGCGACUGCAUCAAAUUUAGGGAUCCGACCCGACCCGACCCGAUCUGUAAAUUCCGGUUUCAAUCGGAUUAAGAUGAAACCUCUAACCCGAUAUAGUUGGAUUUUGGCCAACUCGAUCGGAUCAGAUCGGAUCGGAUUAAACUUAGUCCAAUCCGAAAAAUUCAAAAAAUCAAAACUACAAUAAGUAUAAAUCUAAAUUUUCAAUUCAAUUUGAUCUAAUCUGAAUAUAUUCGAAUCGGAUCAAAUACUAUGCUCUGCUUAAACUUGGAUUAUAUUUUUUUCAAUUUGAUUAACCUAAAAUUCGAUUGGAUAGAUCCAAAACUGAAUUUAUCUACCCCUCAGUCAUCAAUCAAUUACAAAACCUAAAAUCCGAUUGGAUAGAUCCGAAACUGAAUUUAUCCACCCUUAAGUCAUCAAUCAAUUACAAAGGCGACUGAUGUUUAUACAAUGGACAAUUAUUAAGUUACAGCUCUUGUAAUUUACAACUUAUACAAAAAUAUGUGAAAAAUUGUGAUAGGCAGUACAGUGUCAUGAUUUUAUACAAAAAUAUGUAAACAAUUGUGAUAGACGGUAGAACCUCAUGAUUUUAUAAAAAAUACGUAAAAAGUUGGGAUAAGUAAUGGAGCCCGCAUAAUUUUUUAUCAGCUGCAAGUUGCAAGUUACAGCAACUGUAACUUAGCGACCCCGACUUCAAUGUAAAAUGAGAAAGUACUCCUCCGCAUAGUACCUGAUGCUCAAAAGUCAAAUCACACGAAAUGCAAAUAGACUUAUCAGAGCAUAAAACCUUAUAUUACUUUUUGAAAAACGAUUUGAAACAAGGGCAAAAUUACAGUGUAACCGUACUUAGUCAUUGAAUUCAGCUCACAAUUAUCAUUAUAGUUAGAUCUAAUAACUAGAUCCAACUGUAUCCACAGUUAUAUUGUAGUUAGAUCUGAUAACUAAAUCCAGAUCCAGCUGUCCCCACAAUUGUCAUUAUAGUUAGAUCUAAUAAUUAGAUUCGGCUGAUUCAGCUGUGAUGUAGUACCCUGUAGUGCCAUAACUGGACAAAGAAACAAACUGAUAUAUUUUCUUUUUUGAAACAAACUGAUACUAAUCCAAGAGUUUCAGAUGAUCGGUUUUUUUUUUUUUUUCUAUAGUCACAUCAAUAAUUAAGUACUUUCAGUCAUUUUCGAAGGAUUAAAACGAAAACUCUAAAAAAAUUCUGAGAAUGAAGAAUCCGAAAAUAGAUUCAGAAAUAGUAACACAAGUAGAGGUCAGAUUGUUUUUUGGAAAAGAUUAAUUGCAGAUCUGAUGAACUCAAGUCUAGAUCUAGCAAAAUCACGGCAGCCAAACACUAGAUCUAAGACUAACAGUCACUCACCAGUCGAUCAGAAAGUGAAAUCAAGUUCAAAAUUCUUUUUUUUUAAUAGAUCCAAAAGCUAAUAUACAUAUAUAUAUGGCAAAAUAUAUAUACCGUACCCGAGAAGGACGAGCAGAGAAAUUAAGCUUUUUUCGAGAGAACGAGAAAGAAGAGAGACGAGACUGUUAGAAAUUGCUGUCAGUUUAAUUUUUAUUUAUAGCCAAAAACCUAACCUUGUUUAGUGGUUACUGGUUACCGUCUUCGGCGGUGUUGAUCUGAGAUUUAUCAUUUUAAUUUCUUUCUCUUACUUAUUUAUUUAAUUUGGGUCCAACUACGGUGAAACUGUAGUACCGUGCUACAGUUAUUUUCAACCGUUUGAUUCACUUGGAUGGUGGGAUCCAAUAAAAUCCAAUAACUGGGUGCAACCGUAGCACGGUGCCGCAGUUGCACCACAGUUUUUCCCAUUUAUUUAUUAUGCUUUCAGUGCAGUUGGCAAAAACAUGGAGCUUACGCGCGCUUUUCUGAUGUGGCGCGUGAAUUGGAAAUGUGGUAGAUCUUUGUGGAUCCGCCGGUGCAGUGAAGAGUGAAGGAAAAAAGAGAAAAGUUAUCAUGCCAGAUCAUUUGAAGAGAGCCGCAAUUAGUAAUUACACCACAAUAUAUUUCUGAUUAUUUGCUUACUUUGAUGAUGUUUUUACUGAUUAGUAAUUGGAAUAUGUUAGAAUCUAAAUAUAGUAGAAUCAUAAUAGAGUUGAAUCAAAAUAGACUAUAAUUAGAAUGGAUAAUGGGAAUUAGAAGAAUUAUUUGCUUUAGUUGUGAGAAUCCAAAUUGGAAUGAACUAUAUUGUCGUUGAUAUGUUUACUUUAUCAUAGAAUAUGAAUGAAUUAUUACAAGUUACUAAACAGACCUUAAGUUGAUUAUUGUCAUUAUUUAUUUAUUUAUUAUUAUUAUUAUUAUUAUCAUCAUCAUCAUCAUCAAAAUUAUUAAUCUUAUUAUUAAUGUUAAUUAUAAUAAUUAAUAAUUAUAAUAGUAUUAUAAUAAUAAUAAUAAUAAAAGCAAUCAUAAAAUGAGAAUUUCAAGAUUUAAGUAGAGAUAAUAUAAUUAUUUUAGAAAAUGAGAAUUUCCAUGAGAAUGUGAACUCUAUUAAUCAUUCCCAAUUUGAAGUGGGGCCUGCCAUUUUGAUUCAAUCUCUCAUUUAAGCAAGUAAAUACGACAUUUAUUCUCAUUCCCUCAUUCCCACUCUCAGGUAGCGUUUGUUUUUUAACUUAAUGACUUAAAGUGACUUAACUUAAUUAAUUAAGUUAAUUAGAGGUGUUUAUUUUUAUAACUUAAUGAGACUUUUUAGAUAAUUUUGACUUAAUAAAAUGAGCCAAUUUUUUUUGGCUUUUUACUUAAUGGAGAAAUUUGAAUUUAGUCAAUUACUUACUAAUGUCAAAAAUAUCUAUGUUUUAUAAUUUAUUUUUCAUGUCUAUCCCAAAACUCACCCAUAGACAUUUACCCCACAUAAAAAUAUCCCUAUUUUUUCUUUCUUAUAUUAUAUACGAUAAAAUUUGAAAUUUAUGGUAUUUUAUAUAUUAAAAUUCUAAAAUAAUUAUGUAUUCACUUGAAUAUAGUUUUACUUAUAACUGUUAAAAUAUUGUGGUAUUUAAUAUAUUAUUUAUUUGACAUUAAAAUUUAAUAAGGAUACAAAUGUAAAAGUACAUAUUUUCAGUUUUUUCAGUUAAAAAAAAAGCAACUUAAUACUUAUUUUUCGAGAUUCAGACGAAAAAAUAAACAUAUUAUUCAUAUUCAGACAUUUAGAUAUAUUCAGAAUUCAAACUAAUUCAGGUCUAUUCAGAUUUUAGACAAAAAAAACAAACGCCACCUCAAUCAAUAAACACACCAUAAAUGUAGAGUUGUUACUAUUAGAAUACAUUAUAAUUCAUCACAAUUAUGAUAGGUAUAUACGUGUGUAAUAAUUUAUAUAAGAUGCUAAAUUUUGAAAAUAAUAAAAAAUCAUUUAUACAUAUUUAAAAAAAUCAUUAAUACAUUAAAAUGUGCAUCACAUAUACAUUUACAUAAUAGCAAUGACCAUAGUAUAAAAAAAACUCCUAAAAGAGAACGACUUCGUUAUUUAUGUUAUUUUAUAUAUUUUUAAUUGAUUAUUAAAAGGAUCAAUUGUUAAUUAUUAUUCUCCAAACAUAAUCACCGUUAAACAUUUAUUCAAUUUAACAAUAGGUAGAUGUUAAAUAAUAUUGGAAUAUUUAAUGAACAAUAUAAUCACUAUUGCAGUUGUUUUUUUUUUUUAGUAAUGGAUUAUUCGAAACUCAAAUUCAUUUUUUAGCCCCCUUACCUCUCUUAAAAUUCAAAUUUAAGUGACUAAACAAAUAAAACUGCUUAAAAUCUAUACGACUACAUCUUUGGGGACCAAUUAAUAUGGAUGUUUAAAUCUUGAUUUAUUAUUAAAUCUUUGAGUUUCAACCACUAAUAACAUCAUCAUCGAUUAAUGACAAAUAAAAUAAUACAUCAUCAAAACCAUUAAACACGUCCAUCAAUAUCAAAAACAAGUAAAAAGUUUAGCAUGUAUUUCAAAUAUACUUUUCAUCCCAAAAGUUGUAGAGAAAGUCUCGAUAUCAAUGUCACUAUGAGACGUAAUUUUAUAUUUAAAGUCAGCGCAACUUAAAAAUUACUAUGAAUGAAUAAUACACCAUAAAAAAAUUAUUUAUAAGUAUUUUCAUCAUGUAUUUUUAUUUAACAAUGGUGACAUUUAUUUUUUAACUUAAUGACUUAAAGUGGCUUAACUUAAUUAAUUAAGUUAAUUUUAGGUGUUUGUUUUUAUAACUUAAUAGGACAUUUUAGAUAAUUUUGACUUAAUAAAAUAGGCCAAUUUUUUUUAACUUUUUACUUAAUAGAGAAAUUUGAAUUAAGUCAGUUACUUUCUAAUGUAAAAAAAUAUUCCUACUUUAUAAUUUAUUUUUCAUGCAUAUUCAAAAACUCACCCAUAGAUAUUUACCCCACAUAAUCUCAUCUUUAUUUUCUUCCAGCCGUCAUGGAAUCCCUCCUCACUUUGCUUCUCUCCUCUAGUUCUUGAAUCUCCCUUUAAUUUCUCGCUAGGCAAAGCACUUGAAUUGGGCUUUUUUUUUUUCCUUUUCAAUUACGUUUUCCAACAUUCACUUAUAUAAUAAUCAACUAGUUGCUACUCUUUUUAGUGAUAAAAUUUGAAAUAUGGUAUUUUAUAUAUUAAAUUUUCAAAAUUAUGUAUUCACUUAAAUGUAGUUUUACUUAUAAAUAUUAAAAUAUUAUGUUAUUUAAUAUAUUAUUUAUUUGACAUUCAAAUUUAAUAAGGAUAUAAAUGUAAAAGUACAUAUUUUUAAUUUUUUAAGUUGAAAAAAUAACUUAAUAUUUAUUUUCAGAUAUUCAAAUAAAAAAUAUAUUAUUUAAAUUCAAAAAUUUAAAUCUAUUCAAAAUUUAAAGUAAUUCAGGUCUAUGCAUAUUUCAAUCAUAAAAACAAAUGCCACAUGAGUCAUUCAAUUUCUAAUUAAGAGGAUAAAAAAUAGAUUUGGACUAUCCUAAGACAAAAACAAAAAAAAAAACAAAAAUAAGAUUUCCUAAUAAGUGUACUAACGUGGUCACGCGCCUUGAGAAACGCUUGGACCUAACACACUAUUUUAAUCCGAUAUGCAAAAAAAGAAAAAAAAAAAAAAGGAAAAAUUAUGAGAUGUAUAAGUUUCUAGAGACGUGUUAAAUUUUGAUGAAACAAUGAAGAAAGUCGGUGGCCGAAGUUGGUAUGGGGCAAUGCGAAUGGUGGUUGGCCCACGUUGCCCUGUAAUUGGAGUUGUUAUAAUUUUUCUUAUAAUUAAUAGGACUUGACACAGACUGCAGCAUCAGCCGUUGGAUGUGGAGGGAGAAACUAAACAAUAGAAAACCGUAUGGUGGGAUGACGGUAGAUGUUUGUUACAGAAACUGUACCAUAGACAGGUCCUAAUUAAUAAGCUCUACGUUUUGAAACAAUAAAUAAACUCCAGAUGACCAAAAUAUCAUUUCAUACUGCUACCUAGACAUCUUGGCGAGGGUGGGUAAUGUGGGGCCCGGAGCUUGUUUGAUCGUCAAUUAUUCUCUGGUUUGGUGAAACGAAUGGACGGACGAUGGUGAUGGCUUUUAGGAGAUUAGUAUUAUUAUUAUUAUUAUUAUUAUUACAUUGAGAUCGUAAAACAAAAAAUUCAAUUAAUAAUAUAAAAUAUUUAUUUAAUUUAUUAAUUAUUAUAUAUACACAAUAAAAAAAUUUAUAUACAUAUUUAUAAAUGUGUAAAUAAAUUUCAUUCAAUAUUAUAUCCAAUUAAUCAUUUAUAUUUUUCUGCUGUACCGUACAUCCGCCUUGGCCGUACAGCAGUAAAGCUGCUGAUGCUUUAUCGCGAAUUCAUGAGGAAAAUGUGAUUGAAGAACCCAAACCAACAACUCUUUGUUUGUCGUUAGACAUUUACCCCACAUAAAAAUAUCCCUAUUUUUUCUUUCUUAUAUUAUAUACGAUAAAAUUUGAAAUUUAUGGUAUUUUAUAUAUUAAAAUUCUAAAAUAAUUAUGUAUUCACUUGAAUAUAGUUUUACUUAUAACUGUUAAAAUAUUGUGGUAUUUAAUAUAUUAUUUAUUUGACAUUAAAAUUUAAUAAGGAUACAAAUGUAAAAGUACAUAUUUUCAGUUUUUUCAGUUAAAAAAAAAGCAACUUAAUACUUAUUUUUCGAGAUUCAGACGAAAAAAUAAACAUAUUAUUCAUAUUCAGACAUUUAGAUAUAUUCAGAAUUCAAACUAAUUCAGGUCUAUUCAGAUUUUAGACAAAAAAAACAAACGCCACCUCAAUCAAUAAACACACCAUAAAUGUAGAGUUGUUACUAUUAGAAUACAUUAUAAUUCAUCACAAUUAUGAUAGGUAUAUACGUGUGUAAUAAUUUAUAUAAGAUGCUAAAUUUUGAAAAUAAUAAAAAAUCAUUUAUACAUAUUUAAAAAAAUCAUUAAUACAUUAAAAUGUGCAUCACAUAUACAUUUACAUAAUAGCAAUGACCAUAGUAUAAAAAAAACUCCUAAAAGAGAACGACUUCGUUAUUUAUGUUAUUUUAUAUAUUUUUAAUUGAUUAUUAAAAGGAUCAAUUGUUAAUUAUUAUUCUCCAAACAUAAUCACCGUUAAACAUUUAUUCAAUUUAACAAUAGGUAGAUGUUAAAUAAUAUUGGAAUAUUUAAUGAACAAUAUAAUCACUAUUGCAGUUGUUUUUUUUUUUUAGUAAUGGAUUAUUCGAAACUCAAAUUCAUUUUUUAGCCCCCUUACCUCUCUUAAAAUUCAAAUUUAAGUGACUAAACAAAUAAAACUGCUUAAAAUCUAUACGACUACAUCUUUGGGGACCAAUUAAUAUGGAUGUUUAAAUCUUGAUUUAUUAUUAAAUCUUUGAGUUUCAACCACUAAUAACAUCAUCAUCGAUUAAUGACAAAUAAAAUAAUACAUCAUCAAAACCAUUAAACACGUCCAUCAAUAUCAAAAACAAGUAAAAAGUUUAGCAUGUAUUUCAAAUAUACUUUUCAUCCCAAAAGUUGUAGAGAAAGUCUCGAUAUCAAUGUCACUAUGAGACGUAAUUUUAUAUUUAAAGUCAGCGCAACUUAAAAAUUACUAUGAAUGAAUAAUACACCAUAAAAAAAUUAUUUAUAAGUAUUUUCAUCAUGUAUUUUUAUUUAACAAUGGUGACAUUUAUUUUUUAACUUAAUGACUUAAAGUGGCUUAACUUAAUUAAUUAAGUUAAUUUUAGGUGUUUGUUUUUAUAACUUAAUAGGACAUUUUAGAUAAUUUUGACUUAAUAAAAUAGGCCAAUUUUUUUUAACUUUUUACUUAAUAGAGAAAUUUGAAUUAAGUCAGUUACUUUCUAAUGUAAAAAAAUAUUCCUACUUUAUAAUUUAUUUUUCAUGCAUAUUCAAAAACUCACCCAUAGAUAUUUACCCCACAUAAUCUCAUCUUUAUUUUCUUCCAGCCGUCAUGGAAUCCCUCCUCACUUUGCUUCUCUCCUCUAGUUCUUGAAUCUCCCUUUAAUUUCUCGCUAGGCAAAGCACUUGAAUUGGGCUUUUUUUUUUUUCCUUUUCAAUUACGUUUUCCAACAUUCACUUAUAUAAUAAUCAACUAGUUGCUACUCUUUUUAGUGAUAAAAUUUGAAAUAUGGUAUUUUAUAUAUUAAAUUUUCAAAAUUAUGUAUUCACUUAAAUGUAGUUUUACUUAUAAAUAUUAAAAUAUUAUGUUAUUUAAUAUAUUAUUUAUUUGACAUUCAAAUUUAAUAAGGAUAUAAAUGUAAAAGUACAUAUUUUUAAUUUUUUAAGUUGAAAAAAUAACUUAAUAUUUAUUUUCAGAUAUUCAAAUAAAAAAUAUAUUAUUUAAAUUCAAAAAUUUAAAUCUAUUCAAAAUUUAAAGUAAUUCAGGUCUAUGCAUAUUUCAAUCAUAAAAACAAAUGCCACAUGAGUCAUUCAAUUUCUAAUUAAGAGGAUAAAAAAUAGAUUUGGACUAUCCUAAGACAAAAACAAAAAAAAAAACAAAAAUAAGAUUUCCUAAUAAGUGUACUAACGUGGUCACGCGCCUUGAGAAACGCUUGGACCUAACACACUAUUUUAAUCCGAUAUGCAAAAAAAGAAAAAAAAAAAAAAGGAAAAAUUAUGAGAUGUAUAAGUUUCUAGAGACGUGUUAAAUUUUGAUGAAACAAUGAAGAAAGUCGGUGGCCGAAGUUGGUAUGGGGCAAUGCGAAUGGUGGUUGGCCCACGUUGCCCUGUAAUUGGAGUUGUUAUAAUUUUUCUUAUAAUUAAUAGGACUUGACACAGACUGCAGCAUCAGCCGUUGGAUGUGGAGGGAGAAACUAAACAAUAGAAAACCGUAUGGUGGGAUGACGGUAGAUGUUUGUUACAGAAACUGUACCAUAGACAGGUCCUAAUUAAUAAGCUCUACGUUUUGAAACAAUAAAUAAACUCCAGAUGACCAAAAUAUCAUUUCAUACUGCUACCUAGACAUCUUGGCGAGGGUGGGUAAUGUGGGGCCCGGAGCUUGUUUGAUCGUCAAUUAUUCUCUGGUUUGGUGAAACGAAUGGACGGACGAUGGUGAUGGCUUUUAGGAGAUUAGUAUUAUUAUUAUUAUUAUUAUUAUUACAUUGAGAUCGUAAAACAAAAAAUUCAAUUAAUAAUAUAAAAUAUUUAUUUAAUUUAUUAAUUAUUAUAUAUACACAAUAAAAAAAUUUAUAUACAUAUUUAUAAAUGUGUAAAUAAAUUUCAUUCAAUAUUAUAUCCAAUUAAUCAUUUAUAUUUUUACAGCGGUUUAAUAAUAAUAUUUACUAAAUACAUAUGAUUAUUUUUAAAAUUCACAGUAUUUUUAAAAAUAAAUUUUAUAAAAUUUUUAACUAAUUUUCUUUACAACUAACUAUUGAACGGUUUAACUAAUAGUAAUUAUUUUUAAAAUUAUAGUAUUAUCAAAUUAGUCCUAUGUCAAAUUUGUUAUUGCUGUUUUUUUUUUAAUUAAAAAAUUACAUAGUGCAUACGUGCAUAAUAUGCCCAACUCAAAAAUUCACACAAAAUAUACUAUUUAACUUUAAGGCUUUAAUUGAAAAAAAAAAUUAAGAUUAAGAUGAAUAAAUACUAGAACAUAACAAAUAGAUAAACUCUCCCAUUCUUUAAAAAGAUUAAUUUUAUUUUAAACUUACACUUCGAAUUCAAAGUAGACAUUGAUUGAUAAAAUUAUACAAACGGAUCAAUAUUCCUACAUUUUCUUUUUAAUUUCAAAACCAACAGAUAUUGUUUGUUCAUUAUAUGACCUCCAAACAAAUAAUUUCAUUAAUAAAAUAAUAAUGAAAAGUGUCGUGAUGGGUAUAGAGUAAUUAGGUGGCUAAGUUUCUACUUUUCAUUCUAACUCUUGAGGUUGGUAGGCGCGUGGGUGGUCCACAAAACCCGUGGACGGUAGCAUUCAAACAAAGACUGGAGGCACCAGAAAAAUGUCCAAAAAGUGUGAAACCGUGACGUGUUCAACAUGUUAAUAAAUUUAGGCAAAUGUUAAAGUUACGGAGCUGGCUACGUUACAGAAACUGUACGUAACAGCCAUGCAUUUUUUAUUCGUUGGAUCUAGAGACUGAAAUUGGAUGGUUGGGAUUAAAGGCCAGAAUAGAAAUUAAUCACGGGCAACCGUUUUUAACAUUUAGAAGGGUUUAUUUUCAUGCACACCCAAAUAUUUUGACAAAUAUCAAUAUGCACCCAGUAACUUUUUAUGUAAAACCACAUAACCGACCCGUUAACUUUUCUACUAUUGAAUUAAAAAACUAUCAUGCCUCAAUUGAAUUAAAUUGAUCAGGUAAAAUAUCUUUUAUAACUUGUCAAUUUUUACAGUGAAAUAUACGAGUAUUUAGUAAAAUCAAAUUUAUUUUUUAUUCAGUAAUCAAAUUUUUUUAUUUAGUGAAAUCAAAAUUAUUUUUCUUUAGUUGUAAGAUUUUUUUAACAAAAAAAUUCUAAAAUCAGAUUUAACUCAUUUACUAUUUUAAAAAAUGAACUUUUUACUAACCAAACUAGAGUUUAUCUUUAGUCAACAUAUUUUUUUCUCUAAAAUAACCUUUGAUAGAAUUACUUAUAUAAACAUGUCAGUAUCAAAAUUACUUCAUAUUUUACCAUCCAUCAAUUUAAACUAGUGUGAAAUUUUUUUAGUUUGAUAUUGAAAAUAUGAUAGUUGAUGAGAGAAAUCUAAUUCAAAUUUACAGAUAGAAUAGUUUCUUAUAAUUGCGUACAUGGUAUAUCAAAAAUAUUUUUUUGUGAGUUUUUAAAAAAAUUGUGUCACAAGAUGAAAUUAUCUCUUGAUUUUUCAAUUCCUGGAAUUUAUGUAAAACAAUAAACACAAGUAAAUCUUUUGGUUUGUGACUUCUUGAAGGAAUGUUUGGGAACGCACAAGUUCCUCUCUCCUUCAAAAAGAAUGAUAAGUGCAAAUACCAACCUAGAAAAUUGAUUUAUAAUUCAAAGAAGAUUUGAUUGAAGAUGAUUAAUUGAAAUUUAUCUUUGCAUGAUGUCAAACAUUUUUCAAAAUGACUAAGUCAAGUCUCUUUGUUAAUUCAAAUCAAGAAAAAUUAGAAAAAUAUUAAUGCAUAGAAAUUCUACUAAGAGUUAUUUAUGAAAUUCUCAAACGAAUAGAAAUUAAAUUAACAUUUUUAAAUUUUAGUUAUGGGUUUAUUUUAAAAAUGGGUUUAGAAAGAAAUUUGAGGGGUUUAAAGAACCCCGCCCUUUCUUUAAUUAUUCGGUGAAUUUGAAAUAUAUUAAUAAGGUAUAAGAAUAUGUUAUUCUAAUCUUCUUAUGCAAAAUCUAUGCAAUUAAAAAAAAAUUCACCAAACGGUAUUUGUCUUUUUAUUGACAUUUAAUAAUAUUGAUGGCAAAUAUAUACAAUUAUCAAUCAAUUGUUAUCAACUAUUCAAGAUAACUGAAAAACUAAUUGCGUGAAGUUGGAGUAAUGAUUGUUUGAAUUGCCAAGAGUUUUUUUUUAAUAGAAACUAUUGCAAUUCAUAUCAUUAAAAAACUUAAAGACUACAAGUCGAAUAAAAAAUCUUUCCUUAUAAAAGAAUUUGACCAACUCAAAGUACAGUGUUAAAUCCUUGAGAUACAAUGAACCUAAAAAUCCUACUUUGACACACCACAAAUAAUGAAUCUAACUUAACAAUCAAUGGAGAUAAAUCAAUUUUACUAGCAAAAUAUAAGCCAAAACACAAGGCAACGUCUUCACCAAAAUCAAUAUCAUUCAAAUAAUUCCCCUUGUGAACGCCUGAAGCUAUCAUAAAAACAACAAAAAAUAAAAAAAUAAAAACAAGUAGACAAGCAAAAAAAUUCCCCAAUAACAAGUUACCCUACAAAACUUUUCCUUGUAGAACAUACACAGAAACCGCAGCUAUAGGGCUAUCGAAAGUAGGGAUGGCAAUGGGGAGGGGAGGGGAGGGGACCAAUCUCCCCAUACCCAUCCCCGAUAUUUUGCGUAUGUCCCCGUCCCCGUCAGAAUUGCUUGAGAGAAUCUCCAUCCCCUCCCCGAAUAAUAACAGGGGAUCCCCGAGGGUCCCCGGUCUUUGGAAAAGCUAGGAAAGAAAAGGGACGUGAAAAACAAAGGGGGUAGAUUUUUUGAAGGGGAAAGAAAAAGAAACCCUAGAUCUAAAUUUUUCUCUUCUCUCUAUGAAGAACUAAACCUAUUAUUCUGGUUGAAGAUUAAUAAAGCUUUGGUUCAUCAUUACUGUGAGAUCUUUCUUAUGCUUUAAUUGUUUUAUUGCUUUUUGGGUAUUUGUUUAUUCUCUAAAUUAUUGUCAUGAUUAUAUUUGUUAAUUAGAUAAUUGGCCACUAUUUAAUUAUCAACUUAAUCUAUUGUCAAUUAAAAGAUUCAUCGUAUGAAGAUUUUAAUAUUUGUGACAAAUAGCAUAGCAGUGCGUUGUGUUAUGAGAAUAAACAAUCUAAUUUAAAUGAACCAUCGUAUGCGUUUGUUGAUUAGGAUUUGGGUCUCUCUGAUUUUUCAGGUUGUCAAUUAAUUAAAUCCUAUGAUUGUAUCUAGGGUUAUCUAUUAAUUAGGGAAAUAACCAAUGGUCGUACCUUAGUUAUCGACUAGUUAAAGAGAGAUUGGCUAUUAAAGGGUCUCAGUAGCUAGGGAUGGCAAAAAUCCCCACGGGGACGGGCACCCUCGGGGAUUUUCCCCAUUCGGGGAGGGUACGGGGAUAAUUUUAUACCCAAUUUUUUUUUCGGGGAGGGGACGGGGAAAAUUUUUUACCCAAUUUUUUAUUCGGGGAGGGGACGGGGAUGAGGUGGAAUCCCCAUCCCCUACCCAUUUCCCCAUUUUAAUUUUUAUUUUUUAUUUUUAAAAUUACUAAUAAAUAUAUAACAAAAUUAUAAAUAUUGGCAAGAUAUGAGUGGAAUUUUGGGUGUGACAUGUAUAUUUGAUCCAAGGUAUAAAAAGAAGUUCAUUGAAUAAUACUUUUCUUUUUAUUUUUAAAAUUACUAAUAAAUAAAUAACAAAAUUAUAAAUAUUGUUAAAAAUAAUAAAUAUCAAAAUAGUUGUAUGUUGGGAAAGUGGUCACCCCUUACCAGGAAUUAGUGGAAGAGUAUCAAUUGAAGUUUUCACCAAUUGUUUAUUGCUUUGAUUAUACUGGUUGUAGUUCUUCUAUUAGAUCUACAGGGGAUUCUUAUAAGAAAGCAACCAAAUGGAUGACAUGUUUUGAUGAUUAUGUAAACAAUGGAGAUUGUGCAGUUGUUGCAGAUGAAUUAGAUUCAUAUUUGGAUGAAAAAGUUAUACCCCGGAUGGAAGAUUUUAAUAUUUUGAGUUGGUGGAAGACAAAUGCUAAUAGGUAUCCUACAUUAGCUCGAAUUGCUACAGGACGAGCAGGAGGUAAAUAGUUUUAUUAAAAAUAUUAAUUAAGUAUCUACAUUUAUUUCAUUUAUUUUAUUGCCGAUGUAAAAAAUAUUUUUUUUUUCUUUUUAUUGUAGGAUUAUGAAGAUUGAGACAUUGAUAAAGAUAAUUAUUUUAAUAAUUUAUAUUUUGAAUGUGACUUUGUAAUGGAUCAAUAUUAAUGUAAGAUAUAUUUUAAACUUUAUUUUUAUCUGAAUUUUUUAUUUUAAUAUGAUUAAUUUAAAAUCAAAAAUAAAAAAAUGUAUUAGACUAUUAAUUAUUCGGAGACCGGGGACCCUCGGGGAUCCCCUGUUAUUAUUCGGGGAGGGGAUGGGGAUUCUCUCAAGCAAUUCUAACGGGGACGGGGAGGGGACGGGGACAUACGCAAAAUAUCGGGGAUGGGUAUGGGGAGAUUAGUCCCCUCCCCUCUCCUCCCCAUUGCCAUCCCUAGAUUUUUGCCAUCCCUAUCGAAACCUCUACCCACCACUAUUAGAGUUAAAAAAAUCUCUGAUAUGAGUGUAUUCUUCUAAUUUGAACUCUAACGUGAUUUUUUGAGAGAUUCAUUGGAAAAAAACCUUAAGGAGUUAAAGAAGAAAUUUAAAAAAAAAAUCAUAAAAAGAGGAAUGAAAAGAAAAAGAUGCUUUACCAAGAGUUGAUUGACAGUAAUUGGUAAAUUUGAGCAUGCAAUAAAAUUUACCCAUAUAUUCAUAUGACAUAAAAUAUAAUUUUAUUCAUUAAUUACACUACUAAUUUGUCUAAAUUUUAGUUUUUAAAAAAAUAAAUUUCUAUAUAUUUACAUAAAUCUUAGUUUUUAUAAAAAUAAAUUGAAAAAUAAAUUUAUGUUUUUAUAAAAAUAAAUUUAUGUUUAUUUUUUUACAUUGACCUGAAGAAAAGACUAGUACUACUAAGCUGCUGUACGGCCAAGGCGGAUGUACGGUACAGCAGCAAUUUGACUGUUUGGGGGUGGGGUUGAUGGCUUACAUCAAAGUUAGUGUGUGCUAAGGAUUAACAAUAAUAAUGGGGUAAAUAUGAAAUUAAUCCUUGCCCAAGCAUUAGAAGUUCGUCGGUUUUCUUUUAACCGGAUAAUUACCGGUGAAUAUGUCACGCGUUCCUACACGUGGCAGCAUCUAAUUUAUUCGCUUGUCAUUUCAGUUUCUGUUAGUUACAGUUUCUGUAACGUAGCUAGCUCCGUCAGGUACAGGCAUGUUGUAACUUACGUUUCUCGUAAAAAUCAUAUAAGUUCUAUUUCUACCGCUAGGGUGAGCAUGGGUUGAUUUGGAUUAAAUUUUAAGUUAAUUUAAAUUAAAUUAUAAAAAUUUGGGUGUAAUCUAAAUUAAUUUAAAUAUUUUUAACAUAACUCAUGGGUUGGUUAAAUCAAACUAUAAAAAUUUGGUCCAACUCAAAUUAACUCAAAUAUUUUCAACACAACCCAAAGCAACUCAGUUGGAUUUUAUUAAAAUUAUAAUAAUUAUUAAUUGUUUUUAAACCAACCAUUUUGAGUUUGGUUUGGAUUUUAUUAUCAAAAUAUAUUUUUUAUUUUGAGAAAUUUAAUUUUAUCAAAAUUAUAAUAAUUAUUAAUUGUUAUUACUUAUUAAAUUGAUAAUAACAUAUAAAAAUUAUAAUUCAUAAAAAUUAUAAAUAACAAAUUUUACAAUAACUUAAUCCUUAAAUUAAAGAAUACUAGAAAAUUAAAAUAAAGUUUAAUCACAAAAAUCAUUAUUUAUCAAUAAAUAAGAAAAUUCUAAUAAAAAACUUCUACAAGCACGAUAUCGACAAGUAAAUUCAAAGAAAGAAAGAAAGAAAGAAAAGACUAGUACUACUAAGUAUUAACCCUAUUACAACACAAACUCUAACAAUGUCCAUACAAAUAAAAAAAAAUAAGACAUUCUAACUCAAGUGUCAAAGCAAUCCAUCAUAAUCAUUUCCAUCCGUAGUACUUUAAUCGAGAGAUUCCACGAUUAACUGACAAAAUGUAUGACAAUGAUAAUUUACAUUGAUUAUGACAUAAUAGAGAUGGAUUUGUCAAAGCCAAAUCAUUUGCUGGAAAGGAAUUUAGUUGAAGUAGGAACCAAAAUUCAACUUAGAUGGAUCUAUAAAAUUGGUCAUUCAAUACAUAAGUACUUUAUCAACAGAUUCAACACAUUAUAAAUUUAUGGAUUCAACUAAGUUACAACCAGCUGCAACUUAUUCCUCUCACAUAAACAAUAAUACAGCGGUAGGCUAUAUUAUUUACAAAAAGUACUUAUGUAUUGAAUGACCAAUUUUAUUACCUGCAAAAUUAAUUAAUCUUUCACUCUAUCAUCUAACUAAUGGAAGGCAAUCUUAUUUUAGGUUGUAAUGAUUAGAAACUAGCAGGAAGUGGGGGCGAUGCUCCAUAUUAAUUUGGAUAAAUCCCUUUCUAGUGAAGAAGUUAAAAUUAUAAAAUAGAGAUCAAGAUAGAAAUUUAAAGGCCCCGAUUGUUUUUUACAGACUUAAAAAUGAUAUUGAAAAAUUAAAAGCUAAUUUUAGUAUUUAAAAAUUACUUUAAGAAAAAUCACCCUAUCUUCCUGUAAAUUUUGAAAAGCAUGAAAAGAGCAGUUUUUCAAAAAUUGAUUUCGAAAAUUAGUUUCAUACUUAAUACAAUUCCAUAUAUCCUAACAUUUAUUAUAAAAAUUCAAAUUAUCCUUAUUAAAUUAGGAAAUAAAGUCAGUACAUUUAAAUAAGAGUGAUGAUAUAGACACAAACUCUUGUACCAACUGACGUAGCAUUAAUUUAUUAGUUGAAUGAAAAUAUAAAAUAAUAUAAAUAAAUCAUGUGGGCCAAGAAAUAUUUAAUUUAACCAAUUUUAUCAUGUCACAUUAUAAGCAACUUAUAAACUCAUUGGAUUCGACUCUUUACUAAAAUAAAAAUAAAUUAAUAUAUAUAUAUAUAUAUAUAUAUAUUUACAUACAUAAAAUGUGAUUAUAUACACAUAUUUAUAAUUGAAUAUGUACAUAAAUUCUGUAGAUUUAUGUCUAUCUAUACAUUUGCAUUCUUACCACAUUUUAAAAGUGUGAUUUACCAAAUACAUGGGACUUAUUUGAAAUUUAUAGCACUUUUAUAAAUAAAAUUUAUCAAACGUUAAACAGAUUCUCUAUUUUCGCGUAUAUAUCCUCAUGUAAAUUAUAAAAAUUCAAAAUUAUCUUUAUUCAAUUAGGAAAUUAAAUCAUUAUUUUUAAAGAGAUUCUUAUUAUUACUAAUUAGAUUCAAAUAACCAAAAAAAUACAAUCAAUAAAAUAAAAAUAUUUAUUUUAGUUAUCAUUUAUUAUAUACACAUAUUUAUAAAUGCAUGUGUAAAUAAAAUUUUAUAGAUUUAUGUCUAUUUAAGUUAUUUGCAUUCUUACAACAUUUAAAAAAUGAGAUUUACUAAACACAUGUGAUUGUUUUUAAAAAAGUUACAACACUUUUAAAAAUAAAAUUUAACAAAUGUUUAAUUGACUCUCUCCAAAGGUAAUUGUUUUUACAGUAUAGCUAAAGUAAUUUAUAAAUUUAUGAUAAGUAUUUGUGAAUAUUGGUCUAUGUAAAGAAGUAAAAACAACAUAUAUAUUAAGCAGCAUGAUAUUAAAACUCUUAGUAAAAUACAUAUACUAAUAAAAGAAAGACAACAAUGCAAUAAAUAAGCUUAUAAUAUAAAUUAUUAAAAUUGUAUAUUAAAAAAUUAUGCAUGAAAUUCUUUUUCUAUUUUGGUGAUAGAGAAUGCGAUAUAAUUGAAUUAUUUGAUUUAAUAAAAAAAAAAUAUGACUGUGAAGGAAAUUAACAAUUGAAUUGUGGAAUGUUAUUAAUUGUUAUUGUAUCAUUUUGCAACGUUCUAAUAAUAUGGACAAUGUUACAGUAUAUUGAUGGGCGGUAAUAUUUUCACCUCUUAAAUUGUGUAAAGUCAGCUCCAUUUAAAAAAAUUAUAUAUAAAAAGCCCAUUAGUUUUAAUAGUUUCAAAUUAAGAUUAAAUGCAAAUAAUUAACCAAUUAAAUCCUUAUUAAUAAGAUCAUUGAGCUUUAAUUAAACUAAUAAAAUGCAUUUGAUAAAUGAAAUUUACGAUAUUUAAUUACAUGAAAUUUAUUGACUACAUGAAUAAUAUAAUUGUUCAGCUGUUUAAACUUUUUCCCUAUUUAAAUUUUAAAAAACAAUGUGAAAUUUUGUAAAUAGUUCUUUGAAAUGGGGUGGAUUUACACCAUUUGUGCAGUGCAAAUAUCCUAAUUCUAACAUUUUUUUUAAAAAAAAAGACCAAAUCAUAACAUUUUUUGUAUACUAAGUUAAAGUAGUACUAACAUUAUAGCCCCCUAAUGAUUUCAAUUCAUUCAAUGAAUAUAUAAUUUAAGCAUGUUAUAAACUAAGUCUCUAAAUCGAAUUAAAAAAAGAAAAAAGAGCUUAAUUGCUGACAUAGUUGAAAAUAAAAUAAAAAAUUUUAUUAUUAGAUGAAAAAUUAUGAAACUUAAGGGGUAUAAGCGAGUCGGCAGCUGCUCACCAGGGCAUAUGUAAUAUUUGUUAAUACAUUUCAAAAUUUUAGGUUUUUUAAUAAUAUUUUCAAUACAUUUUCUAGAAGGUUUAGAAAAAAAAAAUGACUCAAUACUUUAAUCGAGCUAUGAAUAAACUCAUGUGUUAAAAAAUUUCAUAUUUACACCCAAUAAGAUUAAUUAAUGGGUGAUACAAAUUUAAGAUAGUUAAUAAUAAUAUAUAUCAUCUUAAGUUAACUUCAACUCAUUAACCUUGUAUAAGGUUUGAUGGGUCGUGCCGCAAAUUAUCACCUCUAAUCCUUUUUGCAACAGGCAUGAUGAAUGCUAACAAAAUGAAACUUCUAUAUAUUUAGUUGUUAUUCUUUUUAAUGAAAUAAUAAGGAGCUUUGCUGCAAAUUUCCAUCCAGCAUGGCAUGGACGCACGUGAAAUUUGCUAGUAUGGUCCUGGACAUGCGUGGCUGAGAUGCUUCUAAAGGCAAAGAAUUCCAAGUUCAUACCAAAUAUAACUUUCUGAUAUUUUUGUGGUAUCAAGUUUGUUUUUCACAAACUAAGGUGUCGGCGUAAAGUUGUUGUCCAUGCAAUGAAGUUUUAUACAUAAAUAUAUUAACCUAAAUUGUUACUAAAGUUCCAUAAUUAGCAGUUCCUGAGAGUUUUUACUAUAUAUUUUUUUGUUUUAAUUCAACAUAUGUUUAUUUAAUACGAUUUUAUUAAAUAAAUGUGCAUAUUUACCAUAUUUGUCUACGAUCAAUUAGUUGGAAAAAAAAAAGAAAAUUAAUAAAUUUAUUUAUUUGAUUGUUAAUGGUUUAGGCAUUUGAAUUCCCACAAAGUCAGGGUGUCAGCUCUGGACUUCUGGUGAUGUAUUUUUCUAAUAAAGAAAUAAAAUAUUGUUGUCAUUUUUUUAAUAUUCUAAUUUACCAAGCCUACCAACCAAUUAAUUUUUCUAAUUAGAUCAUUAAUUCAUUACACGUGCAUUCGCUGGCCCAGUGCUCCAAUCCCAUGCAUGCUGCACAACUCAAUGUGUUUUAAUAAGAAAAGGUUUGGUUAGCCUGUGCUGAUGCCAGAAGCCCCUUAAGGAGUUCAGGUAAACGUAAAUAUGUCCAGAUUUAGAUUUGAAUAUGUAAACGUAAAUAGGUCCAGAUUCAGAUUCGUUGCGCUAGAGAGGGGCACGCACGAUCGGGCUGCUGUCAGGUGGUACGUUGGCGUGGCAAUUCUCAACACGCGCUUCUCCUGGUGCAUACUUACGGCAAGUUGACACGUGACCCGUGUGGAUUGAGUGGACAGAGUCACGGGCACUGAUUUUUGUCAUCCAUAACGACUAACGUCGGAGACUUCGAGAAGAAAGAAAUUGUUGUCGUUUCUAAGGGGAAAAAAAUAUUUAAUUUGUUGAAGACAAAUUAACGUCGGAGAUUUUUUUUAUUUUUUAUUUUUAAUUUUGCAAUCUAAACCAGUCUAAUCAAAAUGUCAAUUUGACAAAAGUUGGACUGAUUUAGAUUAGUUCUAUUAGUUUGAUUGGAUUAAAUUGAAUUAGAUCUUGAACAUCCUAACACUUUUCAUGAAUGUUUUCCUUUUUUUUUGAAAAAAAUUAAUAAGGAGAAUUCCCAUGAAUGUUAAUUUUAUUGAUAAACUUGGCAAUUUUAAGAAAUGUUUUGACGCACGAAUAAUGCAAUUCAUCAACCCACAUAGAUAUGGAUAUAGGAAGCAGAGACCAGAUCGAUCUUGACAUAACGAAAACUUGUAUGUGUAUAUGUAUGUUACAGACCAGAUCGAUCUGUAGCAUAGACUUCUCCUAUAUGUAGGUUAUAUUCAAAUUACAAAAUGAACACAUGUUAAGGAUCUACAACUUCUUCUUUAAUCUAAUAAGCUCCCUCAACUUUAUUCCAAAACAAAAAAGAAUCAAAUUUUUGUUGGAAAUAUUUAUGAAUGAAGAAGCAAAAAGCGCUUGUAUCAAGGAUCUAAUUAAAGAACUGCCAGAGGCAUAGAUCUAUCAAAGCUCCCUCGCAUGACUCUUGGUCUCGGUGGCUUCUUCUUCUUCAUUCCGAAUUUUCCCUCCAUCUGAUCUCUUCCAACCUUUCCAUUUCCAAAUUGAAUUGAAACUUGCCUCAUAUUCGUUUGUUGAAUCCCAUCUUUUGUUGCACCACCAUGCAUCAAAAUCCUUGAAAUCCCAGCAUAAUGCAAGGACUCAGCUAUUUGCAAUGGGGUCACGUUCUUACUUGUCCUUGCCUCAACAUCAGCUCCCUUCUUCACAAGCAAUUCAGUCACAUCUGUGUGGCCAGAUUCCACCGCACAAUGCAAAGCUGUGUACCCAUCUUCAUCUUUAGCAUCAACAUCAAUCCCUUUAUCAAUCAGAAUCCUCACAACCUCAAUCUUUCCCUUAAACGAAGCCCUAUGCAAAGCAGUCCAUCCAUGUAGGUCUUUCCCAUUGAUCGCGGCGCCUGCUUCGAUCAACCUCUGCAUUGUCCUCACUUCCCCUUUCCUAGCGGCAAUACACAGGCUGUCACCAAGCUUCAACGCGUCAAAGAGACGGGAGUGACCGCACUCAGCAGCAACAUCAUAAGCGGUCUUUCCGCUCUUGUUUCUAAUAUAUUUAUUAGCACCCUUCUGCAAUAACAGCUUCACCAUUUGCUCAUAUCCCAAGCUUGCGGCGAUAUGCAAAGGCGUGUCACCGUCUCUAGCGUUGCGUAUAUCAGGCCUUGCUCCGUUUGCUAACAGAAGUCUCGCGCAAUCUCUUCUUCUGUCUUCAACCGCGAGAUGCAGAGCUGUGUUACCAUCUUUUGUUAAAGCAUUGACAUUAGCACCUUUGAUUAAGAGAAGCUUUAGUACUUCCAAAUGGCCGCCUCGUAAGGCCAAGUGUAUGGGCCCCCAUGUUGAUGUUCCUGAUCUUUCUGUGCUGGCUUUCCUCGCCAACAAGAGCUCAACAAUAAGUGCUUCCCCUGCAGCCGCCGCGGCUUCAAGUGGAGUACUGCAGCCACACCUGCCUUGAGACUCAACAUCCGGCCCAAACUCAAGCAAAAGUUGAACAAUAUCAGGCCUCCUUUGAGCUAUAGCAAUAUGAAGCAACGUUUGUCCCUGCGCAUCGGCAGAAUCAGCCGGGUUCCAAGCCGGGUCACUCCGCUCAAGAACCUCUCUUAAAUCAUCCAUUUCACCAUCCUUAACAAGCAGAACCAAAACAGGAGACCCAACGAACAUGAUCUUGAUUCCGCUGUCGAUGAACACUUGCUUCUUCCUCGUUGUGAACCAGUCACUGGGGACGGAAUCAAGCGUCGACGUUGCAUCUUUAAUUCCAGCUCCAGGAACAACAACGCUGUGCAAGAGGAAGGAAUCAUCACAGUGAGGGAAAGAAUCAGGAAGAACCGAUCCUGGAGGGAGAUGAUACGCAAUCUCUACGCUUAGUGUUGCGAGUGGUGAUAUGAUUCCUGAUUGCGGCUUCACAGUAUAACGAGCCUUGUUUGUAGGCUGAAUCCUGAAAGCAACAGGCAUCGUGUGCAUGACAUUGCGGAGAGUCAGCUCCCCGGAACAUUUCUGCCCUGGUUCAAUUCUGAUAGCUACAAGGUUCGACGGCUCCAAGCUUACAAGCCUAUCCAUUGAUUAAUUUUCUCUCCGUUUCCCAAGGACUGCUGAAAGGGGUUCUUUGAACUUUUUGAUUCAGGCUUAUUUUCUUCACUUUUGGUGGCAUGGGGAGGAAUUAGAGGAGUAACUGUAAGAGCUGCAAGUGUUGGUGUAAUCAACUGUAAUAUAAGGAGAAGAGAGGGCCGGCUCUAAUGGGAGACUGCCACGUGGUGGUGUUAAAAACAAUGAGACUUGUUCUGUUCGGCGUCCGGAGUGUAUAUACAGUUGUGUUAGUGGUGAAAGUUAAAGAAAUCCUGAAGUUAUUUUCGGAGUGGCUUCUGCAAAGUCACUUUCAGGAUUGUAUUGUAUCAUUAAAAAACAAAGCCAGUUUUUGUUGUUCUAGUAAAAGGCGAAUCAUUGGACAAACUCGUAAGAAUAUGUUGCCAAAUGUAUAAAAUAUGAAAUUCAAACAAUGAUUACAAUGUGAAAUUGGACAAUGGACAUGGCCUGUGUGAAUUGUUUUGUGGGCUUACUAAUUAAAUUAAUUCACUAAAAAUAAUGUCACUUUUGUGUCUGUGAAGAAGCCGAAAUGGCACAGUCAUUUACGUGGCCAACUACGGUGACUACUUCGUCAGUAGCUGCUCGAGCACUUGGUCAGCACAAGUUGCUUUCUUUCUUGGCGGGAUUAGUUUUUCUUCAUUGCUUUAAGUGGUGCAUUUCUGCAGUUUCAUUUUGCUUUGCUUAUGCCAUUGGAUUUGUGCCCCAUAAAUAAAUAUAUAAUUAAGCGGAAAAGUAUCAAAUUUUGAAAAAGCUUAGGUUUUGUGUGUGUGUGUGUGUGUGUGUGUGUGUGUGUUUUAAGCCGAAUUACUCGGCUAAAAAUUAAUCCGAUUAUUAUUGUUUUGGUGCUUAAGAUGUGACUCUAACCUAAAGCUCAUUUGAACUCUCUUGAUGCUCAUAUGGUAUUUUUUGUGUUGUGUCGUGCUGGCCCUUACACAUCUCGGCUCAUAUUUUUCAUGUUACUAAGUUCUAAUAUGUACAAAAGAAAUAGAGCAAUGUCCGGUGGUAGAUCCAAACACUCAAUUUGGGGUGCUUAUUUUUCAGUCUCAAAUUCGAUUAUUUUCUUUUAAAAUAUUAAAAUAAUAGUAAUAAAAUACUUAUUUUAAAUACUGAGCUCAUUACAACCACAUAUGUAAAAGUAUCAUUUAUAUUUUUUUUCUAAAUAAUCUUCACAAAAUAUUUUAAAAAAUAAAAUUAUGUGACUAUGGGGAUUUGAACCAAGUCUCUCAAACUACUAAAUAACACUUUUACCACUAAAUUACAAAUCUUUUAACAUAUUAAAAGUGCAUCCAAAUUAUUAUUAUUAUUUAAUUAUUUCAUAAGAGAUUUGGGGCACAUUUAAAAGAAAAAAAAUUAAUGGUGCAUAAAGGACUAAAGCCUCUCUUGAGUCCUUGACCUUAACUAGGUCCACCCAUGGUAAUGUCAGUGAUACCCAACUUGAAAAAUAUACAAGAAACUUGGAAAUUUAAAUUAAUGAAUAAAUAAAUAAAUAAAAGGAAACUUAGUGAUUGUAGCUGUUGUAUUGUAUUGUGGAUCAAAGAAUUACAAGUUCUUGGUUUCUCGGUAUUGGCUAAUUUUGAAGUUAAAUGAAGUUCGAAAAUAUUUACAAGCAAUAAAAUUAUCAACUGAAUGAGACAAGGAAAGAGUAUAAAGACCUUAGCAAAUUAGCAAUCCUUCUUUAAUUUAGUAACAGUGACGCUUAUAAAGUUAGAAGACGUAUCAAAUCUAAUUUAGAUUUUGCCCCAUAAAACUAACUUAACUUAUAGUGCGUCUUUGUUUAAUUAGUAAAUAUUCCACAAAAACUGAUCAGCACUUUAUAGGAAAUUCCAAACACGUUUAUAUUCACAAGGAAUAUGUCAAGGAGAAAUGAGAAUAAAAAAAUGUAAAAACUAAUAAAGCUUCAUUAAUUAGAAUUUAUAACCAUAUGUGCUCCUAUACUACUUUUAUUAUUAAGAAUUUGAAGUAGAAGGUAGUUGAUUAUCAUGAAAUUACAAAAUUGUAAACGGAUUUGUUCUUUUGGAAAAAGAAAAAAAAAAAAAAAGGAAGGAUAGUUGAUUACUUGAUUAGUGAGAAAUCAUACGUAUAAAGGACAAAUUGAAAAAUGGGACCUGAAUUGCAACAAAGCUUCAUUGGAAUUAACUGCCGAUAAAAUUAAAUUAGUAUCACCCUACCCUUUCAUCUUAAUAUAUUCGAAAUUUCACCGAUCAAAGUUUCUAGCUUCGAUUUUUACGAUCUCUCAUCCUAAUAACACCAAAAGCAUAUUCAUUCGUUUGUAAGAUUAUGUAACAAAAUAUAGUAAAUAGCCUAUAAUUUUUUUGUUUUACUACUAACCUGUUAUCAUUCUUUUCUAAUAAUACAUGUUAAAAUAUUCACAGAAAAAAUUUAUCCCUAUUACACCCAACCACCUUUUUUUGUGUUUUUUUUGUUCAAAUUUUAGCAUUAAAGGGACAAUAAUGUCCUAUGAAAUAUGCAGAAAGACAGUUAAUAAUAUUCAAAAAUGUAAGUGGAGGUAUCUUACGCCACACACACAAAUUACACGACUCUCAUUAAUGUGUUGUUGUUGUUAUGUGUGGCGUAAGUUACAGUUGAAUGUCAUAUUCAAAAAAGUAAGUGGAGGUAUCAAUCUCCCUAAAUAAAUAAUUUAUGGAAGGUUGUUAGCUGUUGUACUUUUAGUUAAUUUUAAAAUCACAAUAAUAUGGUUAAUGUUAAGUUACAUGCAUGUAACUUAGGAGGAUCCCAAUAAUAUACCAUAUUUUAUUAAUAUGUACAGUAUUUAUAAUAUUUAAAAAUUAAGGAAUUAAUGUACGCAUGUAAAAGCUGCAUUGGAGCCAGUUGGAAAUCUUACUGUCUUGAUAUAUGCAACGAUUGUAGCAGCUAAAAAGGCAUGAUAUUUACUUAAUAUUAUUUCAAACAAUAAUUAUUUAUUUAAAGCAAAUAAUAAUAAUGAGGGCAGAAGGACUAUUCUAGGAUCAAUAUGGUGACAGUAUAAAUAAAUAAUAUUAAUUAUUAAUGCAUUGAUGAGUAUUGUUAAAAUGACAUAAUAGGUUUGUUUCAUUGAAUUGAACCUUUUCUCUUAAAAUAGCUAUAAUUUGUUCUCUCUCUCUCUGUGUUUUUGUUUUUGUUUUUCACUUUAGUUUUACUUCUCUUAAAAAACCAAAAAAAAAAAAACAAAAUUAAUGGAAACUGAUGAUGGGAAGACGGACAAUUUUCUAUAUUGUUAAAUAGAAAUGGGCACAAAUGUGAGUUUUUUGGGGCAAAAAAAUAUAGUCAAUGUACGUAGCGUUUGUCUAUUUGAAAACCCGUCAAUAUAAAAACAGGACGUAAAGCUUUCAGACAAAGUACUCUUAUGGCCGUACUUUCCAUAAACCAAAUCAAAAGAAGGAAAAUAUUUGUGUCUGGCUUCGAUGCGACUGUUAACAUUCACAAAUAAACACCUUUGCAUGGUCAGAAAAAUUAACAAGAAAUUAGAAGGCGAUGUUGCGUUCUACUUAGUUCUCUAGGAUUUGUGUCAUUUGUUUAUGCUACGGUUCGUUCCCAUUUGCAUUGCGUGGAAUAAUUGGCCGAAUAUUAUUAAUCUCAAUCUUAAUCUCUCAACUCUUGUCCCUUUAAUUUUUGUUUGUAUCUUUUUCUUUUUUUUUUUAAAUAUCACAUACAAUGCUUUUAAUAAAUAACUUCAUAGAAAUAUUUAAUAAAAUCCAACAUAUAUAAGUUCAAGAAACUCAAAAAAUAAAAGAAAAUAAACUCACGUUGUCACUGGAGAGACUCAAACAUGCUACCUUAAAAUUAAGUAGAGGGUGCAACUACUUGCACUUUAAAAAAAGAAAAGAAAAAAAAAGGGGCUUUGAACGCUCGUGAUAAUUUGCAAGUUAUGGAGGAUAAUCAUUGUACAAUGGGGAGAACUCUUAUGGAACAAUAUUCAAACUGAUAUUGAAAGCAUAUAAGAAUUUGGCUUGGGUGUUUUGGUGCCAUGAAUGAGUGCAGAAACAAAGAGGAAGCUUUGUCCCUUUAAUUUGAUCUGCUGUAUUAUAAUUAUUGAGAUUAAUCAAAUAAAUAACCGAAACAUGGUUACAGUUUUAUAGUGUAUUGCAAGUCUUUGGAGAUACUAUGUACCUCAAAAAAAAAUAUCGUAUAAAAGAGUGUUUUGUUUCACAGGGGUUCAAUGAGAUUUGAGAUGGCUGUAAUGAAAGUGAUGUAAAUUUUUUGGACUCUAAUGAGGUGUUUUUAGAUGGAGGGGGAUUUACAAGUAUUUUAUAGGGGUGAUAAAUGACUGUAUACCCACCAAAAAGGCCCAUUGUUCGAGUCCAUGAGCAUUACAGUUUUUUUUUUUUUUUUUUUUGAAAUUCAGAACAUGCAGUUUGUUUGAUUCAACUUCCGAAUUACAAAAUUAGAAUAAGAAAAAAAAAUGUGGAUGUUUUUUCUUUAAUUUACAUAAUAAUACAUGGUGUGGACGAUGUCUAUUGAGGGAUAAAAGAGGAAUGGGGGCACUGUGAAGUUUGUGUUUUUGUUUUUUUUAAAUUAUCAUAUUCAUACUGUCUAUAAAAAUAUGCAAGUUAAAAAAUUACUCAUGAUAUUGUUGUUUUUGUUUCAUAUAAUACUACUUAUGCACAUCGCCUCAUGCAAACAUUUCUUAGUUAUGCUUAAAAAAAUGAGAUUCUCACCAUGGGUCACUGUAAAAAUCCACAGAAGCCGUGGAUCACAGUAGGAAGCCCACUUGAACAGAAGAAGCUACCGAAAGCUUCGACAUUGUAUUUAUGAAAUGCUUAGUAAAUUUUGUUUUAUUUUGAAUUUAUAUUAUAAAUGGUGUGUUGCUAAAUUAAAAAAUAAAAAAGAAAUGCAAUGUGUCAAAAUACAAGAAUCUUACGGACAUUUUUGUCACAAUAUAUGUAAAUAAUUCAUAUCUUAUUCAUAUCCUAUGUAAGCUUCACUUGUUUAACACAAUGGUGGUUGAAUCUUCAAAAAUUCAUAAUCUUAAACAACCAAAUUUGGAAUUAAUUAAGCAAAUUGCCUCUAUAAAUUGAUUACAACAACCAACGACGUGUGAAGCCACAUGUCAAUUUCCCUAGACAGCCCAAAUAUUGAGGCGCUGUGAGGGAGCAAGGUGCAAUCGGAUGGGGGAAAGAGAGAGAGCCAAUGGUGAGAAUGGAUCGUGGUGAGGGAGAACCAACUGGUGGUGAGAUUUGUGGCUUCAAUGAGGUGAGUUUCGUGGCGCUGUGAGUGAAGUGAGAUUUGGCAUGAGUGUGAGGGAGAAUGCGUGUGUUGUGUGAGUGAGGUAAGCUGUGUCUGUUGUGUGCAUGGAGACUCUCACCACAAUUAGAAUUUAUAGUUAGCACAGAACGAAACACAAUAUUCUACGCUAACUGUGGAGUUAACCAUGGUGAGAAUAUCAUUAUUGUUUAUUAUAACACUUUUUUUUUUAAUUUGUUUUGACAAUAAAAUAAAGAACCUUGUAAGAAAACCUCAAUAACUCAAUUAAAAAACCAACUCAACCGAUGAUAGGUAAAUUGAGAAAUUUUCAACUAAAAAUUAUUAAGAUUGGUUUUAACUUCAAAUCAUAGUCACAUAGUUUUGUCCUUAUAAAGAUCAAAAUAAUGAAUUCUAACUCCGAAGUUUUUAGAUUUAUGUGACGAACUGACGAUAGUAUAUUGAAAUCGAUUGAAAUGAAAAAUUUAAUUAAAUGCAAUUCAAGAUGUAGUAUCAAAUUCAAACGAUUCGGAUUGUUUUAAAAAUUUCAAUGCUUUAAUCUAAAUCGAUUAAUCAAUUACACUCUUGCAAUUAUAUACCGUUAAAACUAAAAUAUGUAAAAUUUAGGGUGCAUUUAUUACCAUUUUCAAUUUGUUGUUUUUCGUUUUAUGAAAAGGAAAAUACAGAAAACUUGUUUGGUGAGCUCAUAUUGGUGGAAAACUGUACAGUGAUUAAAAACAAAAAAAAAUUCAUUUUUCAAUGUUUACAAAGGAAACAAGAAAACGCUAUUACACUGGGUUCUCUAUUUUAUUUCACUUUUACUCUCUGCCAAGGCCCUACCAUCUUAACUUUUAUAACAUGGUGUAAUAAAUUACGUGGGCCCAUUUAAUAAAGAAAUAAUCUAAUAAAUAAAUUAUUAUAACAAAUAUUUAAAAAUAAUAGCAUUCCAUACCUUACAGCUUAAUUACUUAAUAUAUUACCCAAAUUAUUUUAAAUAAAAAGUGAUAUCAUAUAAUUAUUAUACUAAAUUAUUACAUUGUUCGACCAAUAUGCAGUUAUUUAAAAAUUACUACAAACUUUCUUACAUAUAUUAAUGAAAAUAUAUCAAUAAUAAAGUUACAUCUUGACAGUUAAUAUAAAUAAAUAUAUGAUAAUUAUGAAAUAAUUAAAGAUUUUCUCAAUUAAUAUUAUCUUAUAACUACAAUUUAUUUACAUAAUUAAAAGUUUUUAAGAAAUUAUUAAAAUAUCUUCAAACCUAUAUGCAUUUAUAAUAAUAUAUAAUACAUCAUAAUAUAAUAACUAAAUAGAUAAAUUAUUUAUUAAUAUAAAAUAUAUGUUUAUAUUCAUUAUAUAAUAUUAUUCUUUCAUAGUAGUUUCAUUAAAUAAUUCUCUACUCUCUCUCUUUUUAUCUUUAUUUUUUCGGACAGACAAGUAACCAAACACCGCUUCACCUUUUUUUUAUUUUCAAAUACUAUUCUUAAAAUAAACUACCAAACAUAUUUUUAUUUUUAACAAAAACUAAUCAUUUUUAUUUUAUAAAACAAAUUGAAAAGUACUAUUUAAAAUAUAAUACCAAACUUACCCUUAAUAAUUUUAUAUUUGUCAAAAAGAUGAGAAGCUAAGUGGCACUAUCGUUUACCUAUUCAAACUAAACGUGGAGUCACAAUAUUGAAGACACUUUGGUGGCCACAACACUCUUUUCUUUAGUACGGAACAAUCUGGCUUACAUGACACUACAUAAAAAUAAAUAAUAAAAAAUCACCGAUUCCAACUGCCCCGGACAAAAAACAGGCCACACGUAAAAAGGCUUCUAUUUUUAUUUUUAUUUCUCCCCAUUUUAAAGAUGACGUCAUGGUGAUUAUGAAACCAGAAAAUAACAAAUUUUAGUUGUCUGAUUUUGUAGUUAUCCAGCGAAAACUAAAAAAACAGUGAACGCAGCAGCAGAUCUCCGUGUUUGUCGUCGUUCGAUGAGAGAUUCCGAUUCGUGAGCAUCGCAAGUGUUGAAAUGGAAUCAGACGAAAUGAGGAGUUAGCCUCUUAUUAUAUAAUAAUAAUAAUGAUAAUAAUAAUAAUAACUAAUCUCUUUUAUCAUAUAAUUGAUAAUGGAAAUUCACAUUGACAAAAGGCAAAUUACACACUGACUGGGCAGAAUAAAAAACAGUCUCUCUCAAAAGCAAUAAUUUAAACACUAACACCACCUUAAGGAGACACCCCAAAAAUAAAGCAGCAAGCUCUUACUGUGACCACACACACACACACACACCAAACUUUUAUUAUAGAAUAAAUCUAAGAUGAUGGAUGAUGGAUGCGUCACAUAAAAGUUAAUUAAUUUAAUCGCUGUCACUGCUGCUGCUGCUCUCGUGUCCGUCCUCGUGCUUCUUCUUCUUCUCCUUCUUUUUCUUCUUCUCUUCACCGUGGGCGGCGCCCUCGCCGCCGCCGACACCGGGGAUCUUCUGCUUGAUCUUGUCCACCAAGCCCUCCUUGUGUUCGCCCUCCUUGUGUUCCCCGCCGUGAUGCUGCUGCUGAUGGUGAACAUCAGUAGUGCCGACACCGGGGAUCUGCUGCUUGAUCUUGUCCACCAAGCCCUCCUUGUGUUCGCCGCCGUGAUACUGCUGCUGAUGGUGGACAUCAGUAGUGUGGUGGUCCCCACUAUGGUGCUCUCCCUUGUGCUUGUCCUCCUCCUUUUGCCCUCCUCCCAUGUGAAGGGCUUCUCCGAUCUUGUGAAUAACUCCUGACAUUUUCCCUUAAAAUGACUCUGUUCCUCUUCUUUUCUUUUCAAUGAAAAAUAGUUGUUUGCGAUCUUCUUCUGGUUGUUGUUGUUCUUGUUGGGUGAUCUUGGCUUGGUAUUUAUAGGCUCCAAAAGGAGGGACUAGAAUUAGGAUUAGAUUAUAGAUUAUUUUAAUACAUUUUAUGGCAAAUUCUGAUUUGGAAAGAUAAGAUUAUCCUUUUGGUUUUCCUUAUUUACCCUUUUGCACCCAUUACGUGUACGCGUCUUCGUGGGCUUUUUGGGUAUUUCAAUUAUAUCGCCAAUGCUAAAUCGACACGUUGCAUAUCAGCCGCGGUACUGCCGUAUGUAGUUGUCCAGAAAUCGAGUCGAUUCUCGAUCGUACAAUAAUUAAAUAAUAUUUCAUACGAAAUGAGUUUAGAUAUAUUUUGAAAAUUUAUUUUUAAUUUAAUUAUACGUGUUAUAUAUUUGUUAAUCGAAUAGAGGUCCCACGUAACAGAGUGUUUCUCUAAUCUUUCAUUGCUUUUAAUUAAUUUUACCCAAAUAAAAAAAAAAAGGAAAAUUUAGAGAGAGAGAGAGAGAUAGCGAAUUAGAAGUUGAUUGUAAUAUCGACACCUGUCAGACAAUCAAAUAUCGUUAGUUAAAAAUCAGUUGUCCAUAGUCAUGGUCAUAGAUGGCGAAAUUGAUACUUAUUUUAAAAAACAAAACAAAACAAAACGAAACGAAACUAAACUAACAGAUGUUGAAAUGCAGUUCCGUGUUAACAGUCUGUGAUGAAUCUUUAUCUUUGAGUAUACCAUUCAAGAAAUUAUCAUUCAAAAAUUUAUUUAAAGCAGCAGCAAAUCACCUUCUAAUUCCUGAAUCAAAUUAAUUCGAUUUUUUUCGAGUCGAUCAAUUCAUUAGAGAAUUAACGGGCUAAGUUAAAGUUUUGUUAGUUAUUUUUUUUUAUAUUCCUUUAGAUGAUAUGAUUGUCAUUGUCUUUCUUUCUCUGGGCAACAAUAAAUACAAGAUGUGCAAAAGCGUAGUGGAACAUAAUUCGAUUAUGGGUAAAGGGAUCAGUCCGCAUAAUGAGGAUAAAGUUUUUCUCUUUAAAAAAAUUUAACCCAAAGAAAAGGUCGUAGUUUGUAAUAGCCGACACGCAGAUAGAUCACAAAGCAUGGCGGUCCUGAUGGCAAUAACUAACUGAUAUCUUCUGCGAUGAGAGGAGAUCACGUGGUUCUGACACGUAUCGCCCCAUCAACUGAUGUUGUGGCUGCAAUCGCGGCCCAGUCUUUAGAGAGAAGAAAGAUCUGUUAUAACGGGACCUACUUUAGCAUCUAUUUACGACAAAGCCCCUAUUUACUCUACUUAGUAGUAAUAAUAGCAAGUGUCGGGCUUGGAUUCCGUGUUGCUUUAAAUAAAUAUCCGCGUAAAAAGAAAAUGCUUCUUUAAUCCCUUCCUUGUAAUUUUUCGACACGUGGAUGGUUGAAAUUAGCGUGCCGACAUCUUAGGAAUUUUAUCUUGGAGACGGGAACACUGCAGUAGGCAAUGCCAUUUUCUUCGGAUGGUGUGUGGUGACAACGCCUUGGAUUUUGACGUGCAAAGAAUUUAAAUUGAAAAAGAAAAAAAGAAAUUACCAGAAUAAGCAUAGAAGAGAUAUUUUUCUUUUUGUCCUUUUUGGAAUGGAAAAAGAGAUCAAGAGAUUGUUCCAGUAAGUAUUACACAUGUCACAGGCUUAUUCAUGCCCCAUUAUGGCAACUUUUAUGCCUCGCGGUGCCCUCGGUUCCAGCAUAAUAGCUAAGACUUCAAUUUUUCUAACAUAUUUUUGUUACAAAUAUGAACGGAGUAAAUGUAUAACUUUAAUCCUUUGAAUAAAGAAAUGGCGGUUCUCCUGCUCGUUAAUCUCACUUGAAUCCCACCCAGGCAAAAUUUCUUUAUUUUAUUUAACAACAAUUUAAAGAAAGAAACUUUUGCCAGGUUGAAUUUCAAGUGAGAUUCAUUCGUGGGAGAAGUGCCAUUUCUUUAUUCAAAAGAUUAUGGUAAUUACAACUUUCAAUUUCGACAUAAAUUAAAAUUAUAGGCUAUACAAUAAAAUUGCCCUAAAUUAGUCCUAAUCAAUUCAGAUUAUAAAUUUAGGUAUAUUUAUUAUUUUAAUAUAUUAAUGUUCUAUAUAUAUAUAUAUAUAUAUAUAUAUAUGUGUGUGUGUGUGUGUAUNNNNNNNNNNNNNNNNNNNNNNNNNNNNNNNNNNNNNNNNNNNNNNNNNNNNNNNNNNNNNNNNNNNNNNNNNNNNNNNNNNNNNNNNNNNNNNNNNNNNNNNNNNNNACAGCAGAAAAUAUUUGCUAUGGAUAAGGAGACAUGGUCCCACGUCCCACCGUCCCAAUGCAUAUUUUGUAUGUUUCCAUCUUUUCUGAAAUUUUAAUAAAUAAAGUUUUUUGACCACUUGGCCAAAGAACCUUACCCUUACACAACUUUGUGGUUGGAGUCCUGUGAUACAUGUAAGAACUUAUUUUUUUUCUUAAUUAUAAUAUUUUAGAAUAUAAUUAAGUGAAGUAGGUUUUUUUUUUAAAUAUGAGUAAAAUAGAUAUUUUUUAAAUAUUAAAGAGAGUAAAAUUUGAAUAAUAAUAUAUUAAAAUUAAUACAAACUAAUUUUAAUAAUUAUUUAAUUAUAAAUAUCAAUUAUAACAUCAUAUAAUAUCAAUUAUAAUAUCGUACAUCUCAAUUAAUUCAAUAAUAAUAAUAAUAAAUGUUUUUUGGGAUAAGUAAACAGUCGCAUGGCGACAAUAGUGGAUCUGGAUUAGAGUGAAGUGGUCCCAAGAGGCUGAGGCUGUGGCUGUGGAGUUCUAAAAGUCAAAAGCUCCACGCACUUUGUUUCAGUACCAUACACACUGAAAAAAUUUGCAUUUGCAAUGACGAAAACUUUUCACGAAAUCAAAACACCUCUAAACUAUUUUGUUAUCGAUAUUUAAUGGAGGGGUUUCCUACCUUUUUAACACUCGAUUCACGCCUUGACGCAUCUCACAGAAAACCUCAUGAUCCCAUUAAUCUUGCGUAACAUAUCUCAAAGCCAAUGCAAGUGAUCUUGUUGCCUACUUCCCUUUGACGAUUCAAAAUUGUUGAAAAUAAUUCUUUUUUUUUUUAACCUCAAGGAAGUGACAAAAUAUAAAAGAAUAUUUUCUACACAUUAAACAUCUAGAUUUUUUUUUCUUUUCUUUUUAGAGUACUUGCACAAACCGUUUCCAAGAGAGACCUUUUUUUUUUUUUUUUUUUUCCGGGCUUGGUUACUAAUUUGGUGUGAAUACUCUAUGGUGAAAAAGGAAUCACAAAGCUGUAAUCAAUUUUUUUGCAUCAUUUAGUUGUAACUUGAACAUUGGGAGGUUUAUAAAGAAUUAAAUUAAUUAUAAUGCCUCUACUAGGAAAAGUUCAGAGUAGCCCUUCACAACUUUUUAAAGGCUUAAUAAUUUUCGCUUUCUUCCUCUCAUAACAUAACAAAAAAUUAAGAGCUUUACUCGUACACGUCCUAUGGCUAUAUAGUAUUGGGUUCUCUACUUCAAUCGGCUAUCUCAAACCGAAGGUUAUUUGGACACACCAGCAGUCACGUUUGGAAACUCUCAAAUGCUUGGAUUGUAAUUCUUGUGGAUGAGAUCAUCUAAAUCUUGGGCCCAAGCCGGACAAUGGGUGGACAAAGAACCCUAAAAUACAGUAAAGCUUCUAACACCCCACUAAAACUCUUAAGAAAUCCUACCUUUUAUUUUUAUAUCUCUUUCUUUUAGAAAUUAUAGAGAAGACAUAGCAUUUUAAUUAUUUUCCCUGCCAUUGAAAAUAAAUUCUGUAAACAUAUUUUUUCAUAAUAAAAUUAUUGUUAUUAGAUAAUUUAUUUCUUCAUUGUUUCAAAAUUAUUAUAAUUUUAUCAACAAAAUUAGUUAUGUCAUAUAUUAGGAUUAAAAUUAAUUAGGAUCCAUAACUUGUAAAGACAUUUUAGUUUAAUUGAAUUCAUAUUUGUCAUUUUAUGUAAUUUUCAAUAAAAAUACGACUAUGAGUGCAAAAGUGGGAUGACAUAAUAUUAAAAGAGUGUGAAAUAAUCGGUAAUUGAAAUGGAUUGAAAUCAUAAUAGAGUAUGAAAAUCAGAAUAAAUUGUUUACUUUAGUUGUAGAAAUCAAAAUUAAAAUAAACCAUAUUAUCAUUGAUGUAUAUAUGUUUUCUUGUAAUCGAAAUGAAUUCUUAUAAGUUACUAUAAGACCCUUAUGGUGUGUUUACUAAUCAGAAAUCAGAAUGGAGUGGAAUUUGAAUAUAGAAUGGUAGGGGUAUUCGCGGAUCGGAUUUUACGGAUUGGACAUUAAUUCAUAUCCGAUCCAUAAUUUUACGGAUUAUAAAUUCUCAACACAAUCCAAAUCCAAUCUAUAUGUUUGCAGAUCGGAUGCGGAUUUGACUCAAUUCAUAUCCAAUCCACUAUUUGACGGAUUGAUUUUGGAAUUAAAAAUUUUUAAUUUUGUCCAAUCUAUGAGGUAAUUAAAUUUAAAAAUCUAAUAUAAAAAUAAUUUAUUAAAUAAAAAAUUAACGUAAAAAUAAUUUUACUACCAAUUAAAUUCAAAAUUGAACAAGAUUUAAAUAAAUUAAUUAUUUAAAUAAAACUAGAAUAAUUUAUUUAAAAUUUUUAAAUAUAACAUAUCGAAAAAAAAUUCAUUUGUUUAGAUUAAUAUAUGAAAAUUAACUAAAAUUAUGAAUUUAAAUGUUGAAAUUUGAGAGCUUGGAUGUAACAGGAAGAAAUUAAGAAACUUGAAGAACUUGAAAAGAAAGUAACAAAUUAAGCUUAACUACCUCUAAUGGUGAAGUGAAACAGUGAUGGUUUGUGCGUGCAAUGGGGUACAAAUUUGGCAUUAUAUGCCAAAAUAUUUUGUUUGGCUUUAGAAUUUUUAAUGUUUAGGAAGCUAUAUUUGUUUAUUUAAUUACUCAAAUAUUUAAUUAUUUUUUAUUUUAUGUUAUUAUUGAAUAAGAUAUAAUAUUGUGUUAAUUUAGCUAUACUUUAAUUAAUUAAUUAAUUUAUUAGUAAGUAGCAUUGCUACAUUUAUAAGUUUUAUUUUUUAUUAAAUAAAUACUUUUUUUUUUCAGAUUCACGAAUUUUUACGGAUUUACAGAAAUAAAUCCAUAUCUAAUCCAUCGACUGUGGUUUUUUAAAUUUUCAUUCCAAUCCGAUCUACCAAUCCACAAAUUAUAUUUUUACGGAUCGGACGAAUUGAGCGGAUCAAAUUGGGUUCUGAACACCCCUAGAGAAUGAGAAUCAAAAUAAAUUAUUUACUUUAGUUGUGUGAAUCGGAAUUGGAAUAAAUUGUACUGUCAUUGAUGUGUUUACUUUAUCUUGGAAUCAGAAUGAAUAAUUUCAAAUUACUAAACUGACCUUAAUUUUUUAUUGUAAUAAUAAUAGUAGUAGUAGUAGUAAUAGUAGUAAUUUUCUAUUAUUAUUAUUAUUUUCUCUCUCUUUUGUUUUUAUUUUUUUAUUUUUCUCUUCUUCUUCUCUUCCUCUUUUUUUAUUUUUCUCUAAUUCAUCGAUACUUCUUCUUCUUCUUUUUUCUUUCGUUUUUAUUUUUAAUUUUUCCCUUCUUUAUCGUUCCUUCUUCUCCGUCCAUUCUCUAUCUUCAAACUCUUUUUACUUUUUCUCUUAUUCUUCAUUACUUCUUCUCCCUUUUUUUUUUUUUUCUCUUCUUUAUUAAUUCUUCUUCUUCUGCGUCUAUUCUUCAUCUUCAAAUUAUCAAGUGAAAAAUACCCACGGUGCCUUACAAGAAGAAUUGGUUUUGUUUGCUUCAAUUAUUUUUUGUAUUUUGUACUUUUGAUUGUUUCAAAAGAGGAUAAACUUGUAAUAAUGCAAUUUAAGUAGGGAUGUUUUAGACAAUUUUGGGUAUGAGAGUCUAAUUCCCAACCCCCCACUCCCUCGUAGCAGACUCCCAUUCUUCAUUCCUAACUUGGUGUUGGACCUACUAAAAUAAAUCCCAUUCCCCUUCUUAUUUCAAGAAGCAAACACGAUUUUGAUUUCAAUUCCCCAAUCCGAAAGUAAACGCACAAAAAUUGUACCCAUAUGAGAUUGCUUAUCCUCGAGUUUUUAGAUUGAAAAAAAAAAAGGAAAAAAGAAUGGCCCCAUUAGGAAGGGAUUUUAAGUGUUAGAUAAAGCCGGUGUUAACCAUUAGAAGGUCUCCGACCUUCAACUGUAAUAUAUUAAACCCAGAUAAAUUUACAUAUAAAUCACACAAACCAACAUGCCAAUCAAAUAAAUUACAUCAACUAACAACAAUUGACACAUUAAUUUUCAUAAUACAGAGGAUGCAGAAAAUUAAAAUGUUUUAUCUUUUCUCCUUAUUUGUGAAUUGGAAAAUGAAAAUGUUAAACAUACAGAAGAGUGAAACAGGAUGGAUAUAUAUACACACACACACACACACAGCUUUGGAGUUCAAUGUCAUCGUAUUGCUCCAAGAAGAUUGGCGCCAUCAAGCUUUGCACCUUCCAGAUGCUGUUUAAUCAUCACCAUAACACCUUCAGUAGACAUUAAUACAUAAUAGAAACACAAAAUUCACAUGAUCUGAAUGUCUGGUCUAUUUUACUUACCGUAUCUCGAAGAUUUACGUGCCGUAAAUAAGCUCUUUGAAGGUUGGCACCCUUUAAAUUGGCAUUACGUAGCUUUGCACCCUGCCGCAUAAAUGUUCGAAGUUUCAACAAAUUAAAGUCUCCUGAGAAAUACAUGUCACGAAAAAGUAGGGCUGAAACUUGCAUCUAAUGUACAAGAUUCAAUCAGGGGUGCUUGUCCCACAGUGAAAGUGUAUGGGGGAAAGUGCACUUUCACAAACCAAAGGGGCAAGAUGUGAUUAUCACACGAUUACAAAAGGACUGUAGUCAAGAGAGAGAACUGAACAUGCAGCUUGUAUUGAGGCCAUGAAAAUUGAUGAAAAGCAGUAACAAGCAACCAUUUUGAAAACACUUCAUAUGGUCGAAUCAAUAAAUCAAAGCUAAAAUGAUGUUGACGAUCGAUAGCUUUUAGGUGAUAAGAGUCUUGGCACUACAGUUAAAAUUAUUAUCUAGGAGUGCACACAUUAAUAAAAAAAAACACAACCAAUAAGCAUGCACUCUUAAUCAGCAUAUAAAUUAACAAGUUAGUUGCACCUUAUGUUGUUCCACAAACAGAUUGCUCGAACAAUUCACAAUCUUACCUUCAAAUUAGCUCCUUCCAAAUUAGCUCCCUCUAGGUUGGCAUUAGUAAGAUCAGCAGUCUGAAAAGUCAAGAGGACAAACAGAUUGCAAUUUGAUUAAAAUCUCAAAGUAGCAACAUUCUGCAUGAAAGAAGAGCAGCACAAUUGGCAACAUACAUUUUAGAUUAAGAGGAUGGGAUAAAAGCAAAAUUACAAGGACAUGAAGCAAAUGAGCCAUGUUUAGUAUGGCAAUUUUGACCCAAUAAUUGUGGCAGGUCUUGGAGAUAACAUAGGCAUACACAUAAGGCAGAAGCAAAUACUGUCGCAAACUCCUAGCUAACUACAAAUGUUCCAUAUAGAAAAAAACACCUGCAAAAGUAAGGGAAAAAGCAACAGAUAA